rnacentral:lncRNA from 1 species
AAGUUAGACAAUGAUGCUCAAGAAGAAGGAUAUGUUCUUACCAACUCUUCUCGUAUUUUGCUCAAGAAUAAUCCCUUCUGCAUAACGCCUACUUUGAAAGCUACAAUGGAUCCUAUUAUAACAAAGCCUUGGAGUUUUCUAGGGACCUGGUUCCAAAAUGAUGAUCAUACUCCAUUUGCUACUGCAUAUGGAAAGACAUUGUGGGACUAUUUUACCCAUGAUCCUCAGCUAAAAGAUUUGAUAAAUGAUGGCUUAGCUAGUGAUUCUCAAUUGGUUACUAGUGUUCUAGUUGACAAGUGUAAAGGGGCAUUUGGGGGAUUGGACUCCCUUGUAGAUGUUGGGGGUGGCACAGGAACUACGGCCAAGGCCAUUGCUGAUACAUUUCCACUCAUGGAGUGCACUGUGUUUGAUCUUCCUAAUAUUGUUGCUGGCUUGCAAGGGAGUAAGAACUUGAAAUAUGUUGGAGGCAACAUGUUUGAGGCAUUUCCAGUAGCAGACGCAAUUUUAUUAAAGGUUAAGCUUUACUAAAUUUAUUCGCAUUAUUUUUUUCUGGUAUUUUUACUUUUAUAAAUAAUGCACAACAAAUUCCAUUACACAUGAUAAUAUUCAAAGAUUUGAAGGCAAAUGUAAUCAUAGUUUGUGGGUUAGCUAAUGUUUUAUGUUUUUUGAGCUAAUUAUGAAUGAUAAUUGAACAGAAGGUAUUGCACGAUUGGAAUGAUGAAGGAUGCUUGACAAUUUUGAAGCGAUGUAAAGAGGCCAUUUCAAGCCAAGACAAGGUAGGAAGAAAGUUGAUCAUAAUUGACAUGGUUGUGAGGGAGAAUGAGCAAGUGAAUGAUGAAGCCUCAAGCUUAACUAAAACACAACUCUUUUUUGACAUGUUCAUGUUGGUAUUGGUGGCUGGAAAAGAGAGGCGGGAAGAAGAAUGGGCUAAACUAUUUUUAGAAGCUGGUUUUAGUUAUUACAAAAUUACAACUAUUGUGGGUUUGACAUCUCUCAUUGAGGUUUACCCCUGAGAGCAUUUGGUUAUUGCAUUAUGAGAAUAAUAAUGUGGAGAAAUACAUAGUUGAAGUGGUAAAAUUGUUCUUUGUUGACAUUAAUUACUAGAGUUGUUUGCUGGGAUUUUAAUUGUGUUGCCUAUUCCUAUAAUAAGAAUUGUUGUUGUGUUGUUGUCAUGGUCCUACUCUUCUAGACCUUUCCUAUUGUUAUUACUCUUAAGGUUUGUACUUGGUUGUUUUGUCCGUAAUUUGUUUUACUUCAGUCCAUGCACAUAUAAUUCUAAUUUUAAUAGUUUGGUGGUUGUUGAUUGUUGAUCAGAGCGCAACGGAAGCAUGAUAUUAGAUUUUUAUUAAAUAUUCCAUGAUUAAUUGUGUGGUGUGAUUGGUCAGUUACUGUGUUUGUGGUGGUUUGAAAUGGAGAGUCAGUUUGGUGACUAAUGUGACGUUCCAAGUUCAGGUCGGACCGUUCCUGCCGAGUUUAGGGUGCCACAUCAAAGCCCUAUUUUAAGAUGUUACAAAUAUGCUUGUCAAAGCAGCUACGAAAGAAAUGUAUCCAACUUGCCAUUGCAAAAUGUAAAUCAAAAGAUCCACUUGUCAUUGCCACUUGUCAAGACAUUUGUUGCAAACAAAAAAAUUAUUGGAUGCAAUUUUAAAUUUCAAAAGACUACAUCUAAACCCUAAACCCUAAACCUUUUUCAUAUUUAAAUCAAAAGCAAAUAACAUAAUCAUUAAUCCAUACUUUCAUUUUUUUUGGUUUUGUUUCUUGAUCAUCAAAAACCAUGAUUGUUUAAACCAGAUUAGAUCGACACAUCCUAGGGUUUCAAGGGGGCAUUGCCGCGUAUGGGGGACGUGUGGUCCACAUGCCCGUGUGGUUGGCCAUAUGGCCCUAUUUUAGGCUUGGUUUUUCCCCGAGUCACUUGCAAAAGGAUACACACCUAUCACCGGUGUCUCAAGCGACGUCCCAUGCCUUAACACAUGCACUUAACUCAAAACAGUUGCUCAUACACAUUUUUCAUGGAUGAAUACUUAUGCAGAAUUGGAUACCAUUAAAUUUGCACUCAGACAUUGUAACACCCCUCACCCAGCCCGACCGCCAGACCCGAGUUACAUGACACUACAACAUUAUCGUAACUUUGCCACUUGCACACAUAGCUUCAAGCAAGAACAAUUUUUAUUAGUUUAAGCAUUUUCAGAUGUGAUUGCGACUAGGCAAACAUCAUACAACAUUCGAAAUAGUUUAAAUACAUGCUUAGGGACCAUAUAGCAAAUUUCCAAAAAAAUAUGUAGGUAUUGAUACACAAUAGUAGGAAUCAAUAUUUUGGGAAGUCAGAUAUCGAUACUAAUAAGAAAAUCAAUACCAUUUUAGCAUUCUGGUUUUUCAACUCAAUUUUGAAUCAAAAUGUUUUAUCGAUACAUAAACAAAGGUAUCAGUAUUUUUACCUUGAGUAUCGAUACUUGUAAAAAAGUAUCGAUACCAAAUUCAGUUACUGUUUUCCUGCACAUAGUAAAAAAGUAUCGAUACCAAAUUCAGUUACUGUUUUCCUGCACAUACAUUUUAAGAUCAAGGUAUUGAUAUUUAUGCCCCGAGUAUCGAUACCCCUAUGCAAAUCAACCAAAUCACAACCACAAUAGAUCCUACCUCACCACUACACACUAUAAUGGGAGUUAACCAGAACUCCUUUCUCCAACACAACGGGAUAUGGAUAAACCACUAUUGGUUCGCAGAUAAUAACUUCCAUUUGACUGUGGACACAAAAAAAGUCCCCGUAGUUGGAAUCUGCCUUUAGUUGUGGGUUCACAGCAAAAAGUCCUGCAGAUGAAACCUGCUUUUUGGCUAUAGUUUAUACAGCAUAAACCUACAACUAGAAUCUGCCUUUGGCUAUGGAUACACAGCAAUACCCGUAGAUGGAAUUUGCCUUUGGUUGUGGAUGCACACAAAAUAGAUGAAUGCAGAUAAACUGCCAAACUUCUUCCGAUCACAUCGUCUCAUCCCAUGCAAUGCAAUGCGCCAUAUUUAAUAUAGAUCAAGUAUGAUAGCAAUUAAUAUAUUUAAUAUAGAUCAAGUAUGAUAGCAAUUAAUGCACUAAUACAUGACAAAUCAGUAGCAAAAUCAUGCUUUUCAUGUAUUCGGAUUAAUAGUAACAUAGGUCACGUCGAUCAUACGAUCACAAGUAUAGAUACAAUAUUAACAUAUAUUAUUCGUAAUUUAUGCAAAUAUACAUAUACAAAUAAACACCGCAUUAAUUCGAUCAAUCAAGGUUUCUAACAUAUUUCAUAUCAUCAGGGACCCAAUUGCAUAAUUUCAAACACUAAAAAUAGUUUAGAACUUAUUUAGGGAUUCAUCUGAUCAAAACAUAGAAUUCUGGGUCAAAAUGGUAAAAUCUUAGUUAUAGGGUACAGACGACUGUGUUAUCGGAUCAUGUCGGAGGCCUUGGGUCGUGUGGAUGGAAUGCACACCGCGUGGCUAGGCCAUAUGGGUCAUGCAAAAUUAAGCAUCAGGGGUGACAAGGUUGUUUGGGAGGUCGUGUAGGGGGUCCUAGGCCAUGUAAAAGGUGAUCAUCCUAGGGUUCAAGGGGGCAUGGCCGCGGAUGGGGGACAUGUGGUCCACAGGCCCUUAUGGUUGGCCAUGUGGCUCUAUUUUAGGCUUGGUUUUGCCCCGAGUCACUUGUAAAAGAACACACACCUGUCGUCGUGUCUCGAGCGACAUCCCUUUCGAUCAAAUCUGGUCUUGGAUACCUAAAUCGAGUCCUUCAAACAACAUUAAUUAAGAAUUAAGAAAUGUUAUCAAGGUCUAUCAAGAUUACCGUGAAUUUCGACAAGAAAUCAUUAAAAAGAUUGAUAAUGGAUGAAAAAUCAGUUUCAAGAUAAUGAUAUUAAGAAUCUUUGAAGUUCCAUUUAUAGAUAAGGUGCUUACCAAUCCUUAGCAAGAUUAGAGAUGAAAUUGAUGACGUUACGCUAAACUGAUAGAAAGGCUAGGUUGAUCGAAGAUUGUUUUCAGGUUCGAGAUGGAAAAUAAUAUUUCACAACAAUGGAGAAAAAUAUUCACAAAUGGAAUAAUGGAGAAGAAAACGGGAGAAUUAAAUAGAGAGAAAAUAAAUAAAAUUUGGUUUGGUUUGAAAAAGGAACAAGAAUACAAAUGUAAUUAGGAAAAGAUAAAUACCCAGAUGUUUCAAAAUAUGAGGGAUUAUUUGGGAAGUAACUCUUCUUGUCGAAAUUAAACAGGGGAAAUGAAAUGGGGUGGUGUUUGGCAUGACUUGAACCUUGAAAACAAGGGAUGGAAUAUAAAGGCUUAACCAUUUGGCUGCUGCUCACUCUUGAAAUGUAUUUGCUCCAUUUAAUAUAUAUUCUAGGGGAUUUUCAUUCUACUUUGCUAAAAAAUUAAAACAAAAAAAUUGGAGAGAGGUGGAUUAAACCGAGAAUCUCUAGGGAGUGUACUAAGCUCUUAACCAUUAAGACUAAGAUUCAUUUCUUAGUUAAUUAUUACUUCUAAACCUAUAUAUUUUGGGGUGUUACAAUUCUCCCCUACUUAAAGAAAUUUCAUCCUCGAAAUUUACCUAGUUCAAAUAAAUGAGGAUACAGUUGGCGGAACAUGGACUUUUGGUUCCCAUGUAGUCUCCUCCGGCCUAUGGUUCCAUCACAAUACUUUAAGAAGAGGAAUUUAUUUCCUUUUCAAAACCUUUACGUCUCAAUGAAAAAUUUGAAUUAGUUCUUCCUCAAAGCACAAAUUUGGUCUCAAUUCGAUCUCCUUAAUUGGAAUAAUAUGGGUAGGAUUGGAUCGGUACCGUCUCAACAUAAAGACAUGGAAAACGUCACGGAUUCGAUCCAGUUCAGGUGGUAGUUCUAAUUGAUAAGCAGCUGGGUUGAUUCUCAUAAGGAUUCGGUAGGGUUUUAUGAAUUUUGGACUUAACUUACCCUUUCGAUCGAACAUGAACACCUUUCACCUUAGGGACACUUUCAGGAAGACUUGAUCGCCAACACUGUAUUCAAUGUCCUUCCUCUUUAAGUCAUAUGUAAUUGCGAUGUAUGAGUCUUCAUCCUACGUAGUUCGUGUGCCAUGUGUGGGGUGAAGUCAUAUUCUUUUCGAUUUAGUCCAAUUGUUUUCGAUUCUUUAUUCGUUGUGCGUGUGUCAUGUGUAUCAUAUAAUAUUGUAUUUGAUCGAACAUAUAUUUAUAUUUAUAUUUAUAUUGUACUUGUGAUUGUAUUGUAUUUAAUAAGUUUGUGAAAUUAACAAUUUAAAAAAAUAUAUAUUUACCUAUUUCUAUUAUAAUAAUGUAUUUGAUAGAACAUAUAUUUAUACUUAUAUUUCACUCGCGAUUAUAUUGUAUUUAAUGCAUUUGUCAAAUUAACAAGGGGGCUCCAAUUUUGCCAUUCACUUUUUCGAGAUUUUAACUUUUUUUAAAUAGUUACUAAUGUCUUUUUUUUUGGUUAUAAUACUUAGAACUAUUCAUAAUCUUUGUUCAAUACAUAAGUUGGAGGAUAAUACAUUUCAGCGCACUUGAACACACGUCCUCCUGUAUGGCCUGGAGAUAGGUUGACUUGCCUCAAUAGCUAUCUGCUUGCGCAUGUAUAGCGGUCAGGUUUUCAAAGUUUGGGACUUCUAGACAUGAAAUAUGUUGGGGAGAUUUUACUAUGGGUUGAGAAAAAAUUAUAUUAGGACCAAAACUUCUAACAUUAUAUUAAUAUUACAAUUUUUAACAGUUUUAAUUAAAAAUGUUGAUAUAAACCUUUUCCUUUUGAAGGGCACAACAAGUUGCAUGAGUUUGACCAUAAGCUAUAUAGCUUUCGGUUUGUAUGUAUUCUGAUUUUUGUUUAUCAUUUUGCAUCACAACAGGUCCAUGCCCUGAGGACUGAUGCCGUACUGUACUUUGUACUGAUAGUUUAGCUUGGAGCCACAUAUCGAAAGUCCACUUUCAAUAUGGCAUCACACGGAGAUUUAAUUAUUUUUUUUACAGCAGUUGAUGAAAUCAACCACUUCUUUUAGUCAUUAAAUGCAUAAAUUGAUUAAGAGGUCGGCUUCGAUAUGGAACCUUGUCCAAUCAAACAGGAGUAUCAUAGCCUAUAAAUAGCAUAUUGAGCCGUAUGCUAAUUCACUUCAAAACAAAAAGAUCUUAAAAACAAACAAGACGUCAGCUAAUAUGAAUAUGGGCAAUGCUAAUAGGGAGGAUGCUAUUGAGGCACUCCAAGCACAAGCUCACAUUUGGAGACAUGCUUUCAACUUCGUAAGCUUCAUGUCUCUAAAAUGUGCACUUGAUUUAGGCAUCCUUGAUAUCAUUCAUGAUCAUGGCAGCCAUGACUAUUACCGAGCUGAGCUGCGCUACAGAUGCUCAACCCUACUAAGGCAUGCGACAUUUAUAGGCUCAUGCGCAUUCUAGUUCACUCGGACUUCUUUGCGCGCCAAAAGCUAGACAAUGAUGCUCAAGAAGAAGGAUAUGUUCUUACCAACUCUUCUCGUAUUUUGCUCAAGAAUAAUCCCUUCUGCGUAACGCCUACUUUGAAGGCUACAAUGGAUCCUAUUAUAACAAAGCCUUGGAGUUUUCUAGGGACCUGGUUCCAAAAUGAUUAUCAUACUCCAUUUGCUACUGCAUAUGGGAAGACAUUGUGGGGCUAUUUUACCCAUGACCCUCAGCUAAAAGAUUUGAUAAAUGAUGGCUUAGCUAGUGAUUCUCAAUUGGUUACUAGUGUUCUAGUUGACAAGUGUAAAGGGGCAUUUGAGGGAUUGAACUCCCUCGUAGAUGUUGGGGGUGGCACAGGAACUACGGCCAAGGCCAUUGCUGAUACAUUUCCACUCAUGGAGUGCACUGUGUUUGAUCUUCCUAAUAUUGUUGCUGGCUUGCAAGGGAGUAAGAACUUGAAAUAUGUUGGAGGCAACAUGUUUGAGGCAUUUCCAACAGGAGACGCAAUUUUAUUAAAGGUUAAGCUUUACUAAAUUUAUUCGCAUUAUUUUUUUCUGGUAUUUUUACUUUUAUAAAUAAUGCACAACAAAUUCCAUUACACAUGAUAAUAUUCAAAGAUUUGAAGGCAAAGGUAAUCAUAGUUUGUGGGUUGGCUAAUGUUUUAUGUUUUUUGAGCUAAUUAUGAAUGAUAAUUGAACAGAAGGUAUUGCACGAUUGGAAUGAUGAAGGAUGCUUGACAAUUUUGAAGCGAUGUAAAGAGGCCAUUUCAAGCCAAGACACGGUAGGAAGAAAGUUGAUCAUAAUUGACAUGGUUGCGAGGGAGAAUAAGCAAGUGAAUGAUGAAGCCUCAAGCUUAACUAAAACACAACUCUUUUUCGACAUGUUGAUGUUGGUAUUGGUGGCUGGAAAAGAGAGGCGGGAAGAAGAAUGGGCUAAACUAUUUUUAGCAGCUGGUUUUAGUUCUUUCAAAAUUACUCCUAUUGUGGGUUUGACAUCUCUCAUUGAGGUUUACCCCUGAGAGCAUUUGGUUAUUGCAUUAUGAGUAUAAUAAGAAUUGCUCUUUGUUGACAUCAUUUACUAGAGUUGUUUGCUGGGAUUUUAACUUUGUUGCCUAUUCCUAUAAUAAGAAUUGUUGUCGUUUUGUUGUCAUGGUCCUACUCUUAUAGACUUGUCUUGUUGUUAUAACUCUUAAGGUUUAUACUUGGUUGUUUUGUCCGUAAUUUGUUUUACUUCAGUCCAUGCACAUAUAAUUCUAAUUUUAAUAGUUUGGUGGUCUUGUUGUUGAUUGUUGAUCAGAUUAGCGCAACGGAAACAUGAUAUUAGAUUUUUAUUAAAUAUUCCAUGAUUAAUUGUGUGGUGUGAUUGGUCGGUUACUGUGUUUGUGGUGGUUUGAAAUGGAUUGUCAGUUUGGUGACUAAUGUGACGUUCCAAGUUCGGGUCAGACCGUUCCUGCCGAUUUUUUCACGGAUGAAUACUUAUGCAGAACUGGGCACCAUUAAAUUCAUACUCAGACAUUGUAACACCCCUCACCCAGCCCGGCCUCUAGACCUGAGUUACAUGACACUACAACAUUAUUGUAACUUUACCACUUGCACACACAGCUUCAAGCAAGAACAAUUUUUAUUUGUUGAAGCAUUUUCAGAGGUGAUUGCGACUAGACAAACAUUAUACGACAUUCGAAAUAGUUUAAAUACAUGCUUAGGGACCAUAUUGAAAAUUUCCAAAAAAAAUAAUGUAGGUAUUGAUACACAAUAGUAGGUAUCAAUAUUUUGGGAAGCCAGGUAUCGAUACUAAUAAGAAAAUUAAUACCAUUCCAACAUUCUGUUUUUUCAACUCAAUUUUGAAUCAAAAUGUUUUAUCUUUAUAUAAACAAAGGUGCCAGUAUUUUUACCUCGACUAUCGAUACUUGUAAAAAAGUAUCGAUACCAAAUUCAGUUACUGUUUUCCUACACAUACAUUUUAAGAUCAAGGUAUUGAUAUUUAUGCCCCGAGUAUCGAUACCCCUAUGCAAAUCAACCAAAUCACAACCACAAUAGAGAAGUAUUCAUGCUAAAACAAAAUAUCUUCCUCACACGCAUUACCCACCACAAUCUCACACAUCGGAAUACCCAGAAAUGAAGUCCAAAACCGUAAAAGAAUGAAUAAAACUAUAAUAGUAAACAACAGAAGUUCUAGAAGUCCAAAAUCACAAUAAACUAACAAAUCAAUAAUAAUAACUAGCCAAGAUUCUACCCAUAUUGCUUUUAUUCCAAAAGUCCAUAAGAAUAAUAUAAUCACCUAAUGAACAAGGAUUUAGUAAGGGUGUAAGCUUAAACAAGCUCAAUGAAUGUAUCAGAAUUUACCACAAGCAUGCAUUUCUGUAACACCCUAUACCUAGCUUGGUGACCAAGCCCAAAUAUGUAAAAGUUUAUUCUAAAUGAAGCGUCUUCCAUUUUAGUAUUCGUAUAGGUUUUAAGUCAAUUAACUUGUUCGUUAUCAAUGUUACAUGCUAACCAUACACCAAAUAGCCUUAUAAUAAUAAUUAAACAUGCAUAAGGUCCAUUUAACAAAAUUUCCAAAACUUGUUCAUAGGUAUCGAUACUAACACUUGGGUAUCGACAUUUUCUUUAGGUGGUAUCGAUGCCAUUUGGAAAAAUGAUACCAAACUUGCAUUUUGUUUCUCGAAUAAAAUCCCAAAGUCUCAAAAAUUAUCGGUACUUGUCAUGAAAUUUCGAUAUUUUGAUCCUGAGUAUCAAUACUAGAGCAAAGGUAUCGAUACUAACUCUCUAAUCUAACUUCCUACAUGUUUCAAAUCAUAGAGGUAUUGAUUUUUAAUCUAGACUAUCAAUACCCCUGCUCUAGACCUAAAAAAUGUAGCAUACAUAUGCAAAAAAUGUAGCAUACCCAAAAAUCGGGGGUUAGUAGAAUCAGGUUUAUGAAUCGAGAGAGAGUGGUCAUGCCUUAACUUUUGAGAUUAUCUAUGUAUUUUUUUAGGAAAUAAAUGAGGUAUUGGUUUAUUGGAUAAGUGUUAGUGAAACCUUCCUUGAAACCCAAGUUCAAAUCCCUUCUCUUUCACUUUUUUUUAUUAUUUUGCAAAUUUUCUCUUAAACCCUAGUAUGUGACAUGCCUUUUUUUUCAAAUAAACAUUGCAAAGUUAUUUCAAGAAUGAAGAAGAAGCCUAAUGGUUAAAAGAAAUAUAAGAAAGCAUGGAAAUUAUAUGAGGUCUCAAGUUUGAAUCCCUUCCCUUACGAAAUAUUUAAUUUUUGGCAAAAAUCCCUUGUUUUUAAUGUGUGUGCCACCCAAGCCUUGUAACCCUAGGUAUAAAUUUUAAUUUUUAGAAAUAAUCAGCCUUUAAUCCCCCUCCUCAUUUCCCUCGUCGUUCAUCUCCUCCUCUCCCUUUCAUUGAUUUUAUUUUUUUCCUUUCCUCCAUUAAUGUCGUCACCUACACCUUACAUUUUAUCAUCUCUUUCUUUUUCUUUUUGCGUCAAGAUUGGGCACCGUCUUCUUUAUUAAAUUGCUUCCAUUUAUCCUCAUCUAAAUCAGCCCAAAAUCUAAAAUCUUAAACCCUAAGAAUGAUCCCGAAUAUUUCUAAGAAAGUGUCAUUGCCGUUUCUUUCAACUAGCUUAGGUAAGAUCUCUUUUCUCUUCAAUUUCUUGAUUAAUAUUGUCAAUUAAAAAACCAAAUUUACAGAUUUAGAAUUUAGGGGAUUUUAAAUUCUUUUAAAGGUAUUUUUCUAUAUUUUAAUGAGAUCUCAAACCGUUUUAAAAUUCAGCCCCAAUUUUGGCCACCAUAAGUGGUGGUGCGUCCACCUAUGUGCAAGAAAGGGGGCUGUUUUGUUUCUUGGGUCUUGCCCAUAUUUUUCCAGCAUUAAAUUGUGUUCUUCAAACCUCCUAAUUAGCCUUUAAUCACAUGCUUAUUAUGGAGAGACGUUCUUGAUGAAUUAGCCAAUCGGAUCCCACAAAUCAUGAAGUGUAAGGGCAAUUAAGGAUAACUAGUUUGUUAUUUCGACAUAGUUGUUGGGUAAAGGUUAUGAAUUGAUUAAAUGAAGGAAUUUAAUCAUCAAUUAUCUAAUUGUUUUCCAGUAUAUUAUUGAAUUAGGUGCUGACCAAAAAUCCCCAAAUCAUUCCUAAAGCCGAAGAACGAUUGUACGUACAGUUCGCAUCGCUACAGUGUAAGGAAUCUAACUAGUUCAGAUCCAUAAAAUAGUUAUAAUUUCAAUGAUUGGUUUGAACUCAUAAGUGGGUGUUUUUGGUAUGGUUUAAUGGUAAAUUUAUUGAAUUUAUACUGAAUUUCAGUUUAGGUUCGUUUAAGGAAUUAUUAAGGAAAAUCGAAAGAUUCGCUAGUGUGCUGCGAGAAAGCGAAAAAUAAGGUGUGGGUCCUAAAAUCAUAAAAUUUUUUGAAAAUGUUAAAUAUCAAGUUAUAUUUGAUAAAUUAGCUUGCUUAUUGGAUUGGAUUAAUAGCCAAAUUAUUAAUUUUUUGAGUGGCCGAACCAGGUAUGUCUUGAGCAUUAAAAGAUUAAUAUGUUGGCAAAAUUGCUAGUUUGAUAGUAUGAAUAUUUGAUUGAGUUUGUAAUUGCAUAUUUGAGUUAUGAGAUAUGAGAAUGUUUGACUGAAUGAUAUAAUGUGUUGAGAUUUUAAGCUUAUUUAUGAUUUAAAUGCAUGAGAUAUUUGUUAUAUUGUGUACUAAAAUCGGUGGUAUUCAUGCACAAUGAAAAUUCGUAAAGUAUGUGAAAUUGAACGAUAUUGAUUGAUACCAACGCAAUGGUAAUUUGAAUGAAUAGAACACUGUUUCCAUUUAUUGAAAGUAUGUGAUUAUUGAGGACAUGUUGAGCAUGUCAAAUGAAUGGGAAAAGUAAUGAGAUAUGAUUGCGUGUGAGACUGUGUAACAUUGCAUAUGCAUUAGGUUGGGAUUUUGCUGUUGACAAAGGAGUUCCGUGGAGUACCGCCGACAUAUUAAGUCCGCAUGAUUCGUAGUCAGUCCAUUGUACCUGGAGUACCGAAAGGAAUGGCAAUUUAUCACAUUUUUACUGGCAACUUGUCUGCAUUUUUACUGGAAGAAUUUUCUACAUAUUAUUAUUGGUAGUUUUAACCAAAAUGUUUUGGAGUUUAGAUGGCGGGUUCUGGAGAACUCGUGGGGUGUAGCUGAUGGUAUGGGUAGGAACCUUUUUGCAUUGCAUCAUGUGCACGACAUAUUCGAGUGUUAUUGAUUUAUGCUACGUAUUGUAUUUUGUUGUAUUGAAAGGUAUUGUAAUUAAUGAUUGUUACUCGAAUGAAUGAUAACCUAUGCUCAUACACCGUUUGACAUCAAUUUGAUAAUGGCUAUGUAAUGAUAUGAAAUUCCUAUGAUGGUUUUGUUUUCUUCUCUUAGAGCUAACCUAUUUCACUCUAUUUGAUAUUUAUAUUUGUUUAAAUAAUUGUUCGACUCACACUAAGCUUUUCAUAAGCUCACCCCCAAUAUAGCCUAGCCAUUUCAGUGGCUAAUAUAGUUUAGCCAUUUUGGUGGCUAAUGUAGCCUUCUCAAUCUACCCAUAAUGUCUAGGCCAAGUUUGGGAACAAUCCAUUUCAAUUUAGUUUCUAAACAUCAUUAUUCUAAAACAUAGACAAUUAAUUAUCCAACAACUAAAUUCAACAGUUCAAAAAACGUGUCCGAGCUAGAAGUACCAUGCCAUCAUCGAUGUUUAUAAACCUAAGCAUAACCAUAACUCUUAAACCUUAUAAACAAAAGCAAUAACCAACAAAAUAUUUAGAAAUUAACAUGUCAAUGACCAAGACUACCACAUUUCCCUUUCCCGAAAACGUAAUUAAAUAAAGAACACCUACAAAAUAACACAAAACUGGCUCGGUUCACCUUUUGAAAACCACACCAUUCACGCUAGCACACAACUAAUCUGCAAUGGGUAAAGAAGGGAGUGACUGAGAUUAACAAACUCAAUGAAUGACUAGAAUAACCACAUCGCACACAUAUCAUUAUGCAUCCUCAAGACAACCAUAUAUAAGCACAAUUACAAUAGUCCUAUAUCUAGUGUAGUAGAGUACCUAUCCAUGCAUUAUCAACUGGUUCAUCUACACAAUAUUUACAUACUCAUACAACAUAUAUCAUGUAACGCACAUAUUUAGUCAAGCGUAUAUCACAAUUCACACAAGUCACAUAUAACGAAAAGUUAGCAAUAUAGCACAUACUCCAUUAAGCAUAAAACAUGUUCCAUACAAUUACAUAUAAUAUGAUAGAUUGACACUUGAGUUACAAAAGAUAUAAUGAGCUCUAUCAUCAUAGAUUGGAUAGACGGAUCUCUGAUCACACCAAAUGACUCGUAGAGUCAGACAUGUCCCAAAAGUGAAGCAUAUAACUAGCACUCUCCUUGUUUCCCCCCACAUGUCCCGUUGCAUAGACCUUAACUCACAUCCCCUUAUCCCUCGAAACAUGUCACAGGGCCUCAACGCUUAAAAUCACUAUACAUAUAAGUGAGUACUCACAAUCUUAUGGCAUGCCAACCAUAUCCAAUUGUAACAGUCUGUUUUCAGUGGUGUCGAAAAUAGUCAUUUCGAGACAAUAAUUUUGAUGAGUGAUUUAUUUAUUUUAAUAUUUAUUUAAUGUCUACAGGAUUAUAUUAAGGUCAUAUUAAUAUUUCGUUAAGAAAUUUUGUUGUUUAAGUAGUUAAUUAAGUAAAAAGGACUAAAUCGUGAAAGUUGUAAAAGUUUAUUUCUAUUAGUUAAAAGGGUCAAAUGGCUAUGAAAUUUUAAAAUAAUGGACUAAGAUAGUAAUUAUAUCAUUUAAUGAGUUAGUGUAUGUAUAUGGACAAGGUUUUAUUAAAAAUUUGUAUUAUUAUUAAGCGUAAAAAGGUAAAUUAGUAAACAAACUUAAAAUAAACUAAGAAAAAGAUAUCAUCUUCCCCAUUUCUUUUUUGCUUUGGCUGAAUACACCAUUGAAGGGGGGAGAGCUUCGGUUUUGAAUUCUUCAUUUCAUGGUAUGAUUUUGUACCCGAUUUUUAUUAAUUUUUAUGUUUUUGAGUUCAUUUUAGCUUAAUCUAGCUAGCCUGGGGGUUAAUUUGCAAAAAUGUUAAAGGUUGAAGGACUUUCCAUGGAUGUUUUUAAAUAGGUUUUGAAGUUAUUUGAUAGAUUAUUCAUUUUGGUUGUGAAAUAAACAUGUUUUGUUAAGUGAUUUUUGGUGAAAUUGCAAUUAGGGAUUAAAUUGUUAAAGUGUAAAUCUAUGGGCUUUAUUGGAAAUUGUUAAAUAUGAACCAUGGAAUAAAUUGAAUACUAGAAGUACUUAAUUGAAUAAAAUUUUUAUUUAUAUCAAGAUAAACCACAAUCGGACGUAAAUCGAGAAAAAGCUGAAGAUUCGCAUUAGUUCGACUCUACUACUAUGACCAUAGUUAUCGAGGUAAGUUCGUAUGAACUAUAAUCGUUUUAAUGUUAGCUAAAUUGAUUAUAUGCUAUGUUGUUUUAAUAUAAAUGAAUUUGAAUAUAAGUGUAUCAAUGCUAUGAUGAAUUGACGGAUAACGAGUCACGUUUGAACCUUAAGAAUUCUUAGGAUACAAAUGACAUGUCAUUUGGGAUUUGAUGUUUCGAGUGCUAGUCUUGAAUGUCCUACUGAUGACUAAGGUCUUGCAUUUGUUGUAGAUUCUCCAUAGCUCAUGUGAGCAGCAUCGUGUAGCUUACAGUCUAACCCUUAGCUCGUGUGAGCAGGCCAAUUUCACGGCUCGUAUGAGUAUUGAUGUAAAGGAAAGUUUAUGGUUAUAUGGAAAAACACACUAUGUGUGAGCAUUCUUGGGUAUCCGAUGUAAUUCUAGAUGGUUCAACAGGUAAAAAAAGGAAAUGAAAUGGUAAGUAUGCAAAUGGAAUAAAUCAUGAUCUUAUGAAAAGGUUGAUGAAUUAAAUGAUGUAUUUGUAUAUGGAAAUCAACUUAUCUUAUGGUUGAAUUCAUUUGUAUCACGGAUAAGUGCACUAACUUGUGAGUUUGAUGAUGUUGUAUAGGCUUAUACUAAGCUUAUGGCAUUGGUAAUGAUUUAUGCUUAAUCUAUGAAUUGUAUUAAUGAAAUGGUAAGUUAUGUUUAAGUUUAUACGAUCUUACUAAGCACUCGUUGCUUACGUAGUUAUUUUCCUUUCUUUUAUAGAUAUUCGGAAACUUAAUUGAUUGGAAGCUCGUCGGAGACCUAUCACACUAUCCAGCAACCAUUUCGGUAGUUUUUGAGUAUUUUGGCCAAGGUUAAAAAUGGCACGUAUAGGAUCUUUUGUGAUGGUAGUCUGUGAAUGUGUUAAUGAUGAUUUGGUUUGUUUAUGCUUUGAAGUUUAUGUUUGGUUUGGUGAACCUUAACACCUCACUGAGUUAUGUCAUUUUGGUCACUUUUAAGUGCUUGUAUAUGAGGUCAUUUUGGUAUGUUUGUGAUGACUUGUAAAUGGUCAUUGUGGUAUCAUGAGGUAGAUAAUUGAACUAGGUUUUUAUGCUUGAAAUAUGACAAUGUUGACUUAUUUUGGUAAAUGAUGUUUUGGUAUAAUUGUGGUGCCUUUGAAUGACAUAUUGGUUAGAUGAAUUAAGGUGUUUGAAAUGGCAUGUUUAUAUGUGUUUGAAUGAUGUUUAAAUCCCUUGAUUAUGUGUCCAAUUGGUAUGAAUGGUUAGGUAUGAAUUGGACUUAAAAUGGUUUGAUUUUAGGUUAAUUAUGAAAAUUCUUAGUGUUUCAAUUCAGUGAGUUACACGGCCUGGCACACGACUGUGUGUGGCAACUCAGAGAGUUACACAGCUUGCGACACGGCCGUGUGACCCUACUUAGUGAGUUACAUGGGUGAGGACACAAGAUGGGACACGGCCGUGUGCCCCUUUGUUCGAUUGUUACACAACCUAUCACACGACCGAUUGACCCCCAUUUUUUCCAAUUGUUUCAACUUUUUCUUAAAAAUUCUGUUUUGUUUCAAUUUAGUCUCGAAUUACUUUUAAGCUAUUUUUAGUGCCUCGAAAGAUCGAUUUAGGGACAAAAUUCAUAUGAUUGAUUGGUUUAUAAUAAGUUUAAUUUCUUUAAUGUUAUGAUGAUAAAUGUUUUUCGAUUGACUGGUAAUGCUCUGUAAUGCUAAUUCGGUGACGGGUACGAGUUAGGGGUGUUACAACAAUGGUUUCAAAAUCACAAGGCCAAAAUAUCCGAAAUCAAACACAUAACACUGAUCGAUUAUCUGUGCACUAUCACUACAUGUUAGCAUCUUUUAGAAAAUACUAUCACUUUCAUAUAAUGUGUAUAUCAUGUAUACAUUUGCACUUUUCACAACAAAUACCAUAUCCACAUAUCACAUACUUGAGCUUCUCAACACCAUGCACAAUUUCAUAAUCAUAUAAGCACAAAUCCAUAAAAAAAAUAUAGAUACAAGAAAAUUUACGCUCAGAAUUUAGAAUAGGGGUACAGGCUACUACUAAAUUCUCCAAUAACACCUGACUCGUGUUUGCGAGCAGUGAUUCCAAACACUCACCCCUAUGCUUUCACCGAGAAGUCAAAAGCUCAACUAGCUCUUCCUUUAACCUGUAGAAGGCUCCAAUGAAUCCGAGGCUUAACACACAAUAACCAUACAAAAUUCACAACCAGAUUGUAGCCAAGGACUCACUUAAACCAACUAAAACAUCAACCUAUUCUAAGUUCUCGUGUAACCAAAAUUUAACAUAAAAAAACUUAGAAUGCUCAUAACUCGGUCUACACUUAACCUUUUUGCCUAAAAUGAAUUAUGUUCAUCUAAUUAGUCAUCUACUCCAAAUCCUUAACUCUUAAACCACUAAAAACUACUCAAUUCAUGGUAUCAUAACUUUUAGACAUUUUUUUGGCAAUUUUCACAAAAUUCAUUAAAAAGUAAGAAAUCAUCAACGAAACUUGAAAGUGAGUUUAAAAACCUUCUAAUCAUGAUAAAAUGAGUUGAAAAACACUUCAAAACCACAUUUUUACUCAAAACUCAAAAAUCCACCAUUAAUGUCCCAAAUUUUGGGUUUUAUUAAAAAUUUGCAGUUUAAUGGCUAAUACUUCAAUUUUAAAGACUAGAUAUCAUGAAAAACUCAUAAGAAUUCGAAACAUUAUCUUUGAUGGAUGAAAAUCAAACUUUUGACGCAAACUUAAGAAAACCCACGUUUGGAGAAGAUGAUGAAAUCUACAGAGUUUUUGGUGUUUUUUAAGUGAUUUUAUAAGUGUUUAAGGCUUGGGUGUUGAGGGAAAUCAAAAGCUUAUAGUUUGGAAAUCAAAAUCAAGUGGUUUAGUGUUGGAAGAGCAAGGGACGACAACAAGGGAAAGGUGAAGAAGAAACUAACAUGAUUUUACUAUUGGGGAAGGAAAUAGGCUGAAAUUUUAAAAUCUGUGCUAAUUGCCUCUUAAAAACUCCCAGCUUUUCCCUUUUUUUCAAAUCAGUCCCUUGGUCCAAAUUGAAAGACUUUUAAAACUUAUUUUCAAAAAUUUAUUUAGCAGCUAAGAUGCCAUAGUUGAAUAUAAUUCUGAUUUACCACGCUAUGAAAUUUCGAGCACUCUAAGGUUGAAAUCCCUAAAACACCCCUAAAACUCCUAGGCCCUAUUUUGGGGUGUUACAAUUUCAACAUAGGUUAGAUCAUGAACAUUUUCAAAAACAUUCAUAACAAUAUAUUUACUAUAACCAUGUUUCAUUCACUAAAUCAAACUAUCUACUAUUUCUCAUAAACCUACAUACAACAUAUAUAUAAACAUAAAAUCAUUCACGAUAAGUUGGCCAUUUAAGACUAUGAAACCUAAAAGUGGGCUCUACCACCACACAUCAGAUACAUGAAUCUCCAAUGAAUUAUCGACUCAAAGAGUCCAAAAUAUUCCAUAAGUGAAGCAUCAAGCUAUCACUCUCCAACACACCAACAUAUCCUGGUAAAUGGAGCUUAGCUCAUAUGCCCUUAUUUCUCCAAUCCAUCCUGGGCCUCAAUGCCCCAAAUCACAACACAAGGAUGAGCACUCACAAAUUCUUUGUUAUUGAUCAACAAAUAUGCAACAUUAUCGCUAUCACAUAGUAUGCUUAUCAUACUCACAAUUGAUGUACUUACAAGUACAACCACAAUGCUUCAUGAGCCACAAUAUCAUUAGAUCACAUAACACAUACUAAAAUAAUUCACAUAUUACUUACGCUUUUGUUAUAUCAAUUAUCACAACUCACUACACGUAUUCAUCACAAUUAUAAAAAGAAACAAAUGGGAUAAGAAGGCUUACUUUUGAAACUUAUGAUAGGGGUUUAGGCUACUCCUAAGCUCUCGUUUAACACUAUGAAUCAUGCCUACAAGCAGUGAUUCCAAAACACUCAUCGUUCACAUUUUCACUUGAAAAUCGCAAGCUCAAACUAGUUUUUUCUCACCUUUCGCCUUACUCGAAGAGGGCCCCAACAGUUCCAAAGCUUCACAUAUAUAACCACACAACAUAUACAAGCAAUUAGUAGCCAAAACACAUCUUAAAUCAAACAAAAAUGCAGGUCCAAAACUAGCCUUUUUAAAAAAUGGAAUUUUCUACUAGAUUGGCUAAAACUCAAAUAGGGUUUGUCCUAUUUUGGUUACUCUAAAUUUUUUUCUCAAUUUAGCCACUCUAAAUACAAUAAUUGUGCGACUUAGUUACUAACUGCCUCUCGAUGUACCAACACUAGAGGUGUGAAUACUACUACUAAGGAUAGGAAUCAAGGCAGUGUCCACAAGUAUAUGGGUCAAGUUGUAAUAUAGUUUACAACGAAGUAUGGAAGUAUCCGAGGAUCGUAACCUAGGGAGGUGAAACUAAACUAAUAUUAAUUUCUACGUUGAUGGGUCUAGUUAGUAAUUAAAUUAUAUUAUAUUACAAUAUAUCCUAAGGUGAUGAGAAAAUUUCUUUUAUACAAAUAAGAUAAUUAAGAAUGGGAAUAGAGUACAGAUUCUAUCAAUUCUAAUGAUGGAAGACUAACUCGUUUCAGUGUUCAUAAUUAGCUUCUACUUAGGGUUCUACUCAAGGCCUCUCUGCCUACCACUAACCUAAUGAGUUGGCAAAAACUACUUAUCUCUCAAUGCUACAGUCCAGACUGAAUGGGGUUAAGGUUUUAAUGAAUAGAUAAUACUAAUUUUGGGUUUAUUCCCACCUAUAUGACUUCUUAGAGUCAUCAAGCCUAGGGUUUUAAGUUCUUUCUAUCCCCGACUAGCUGAUUUGCUAAGAAUCUCUAAAUAGAAGUUAAUGAGUCCCACAUCCACUCGUUAAUCUUCCUUACUGGAUUAGUUCCCCAUGGAUUUAACACAUGCAAAUAAAUUGAUAGUAAAAUAUAAACAUUAUAAAAGAAAUCAAGAGUAGAGAUGAGAAAAAUCCUGAUAAUUCAAUAACAGAAGCACGAACUAAUGAAAAACUUAAUGAAAAACUAAACUGAAUACAAAGCAAAAUAAAAACUAUUCAUGAAGUGUUUAGAUUAGAGGUGAUCAUGGCCGCCCGGCCCGAUGGCCUGCCCGAAAUAUGAAAGGGUUCUUGUAAAAAUAUAGGCCUGAAAUAUAGGUUUGGGCAAAAAAAUAAGCCCGUUUAGAAAACGAGCAGGGCCUCGGGCAAAAAUAUAUAUAUUUUUAAAAAUAAAUUUCUCAUUUCCCCUCCCUAUUUCCCAUUUCCUUAAGCCCGUAAAAAUCGCUAAGCCCUUCCUUCCUCCUUUUUUUUUUUUAUUUUAAAAUUUUUUAUUUUUAUAUUUCAAAUUUUAAAAUUGAAUUUUAAUUAUUAGUAUUGUUAAAUUUGUUGAUAUGAUAUUUCACGGGAAGGGUUCUACUCUAAAAUAAAAAUAAAAAUUCUUUUUUUUAACUCUUUAUAAUUUAUAAAAUUUUAAAAUAGUAAUGGUAAAAUUACACUUUGCCCCUCAAAUGAUAAAAAACGUUAAUUUAAUCUUUUAAAAAUUAUAAAAAUGGUAAAAUUAUUUUUUCUAUCAUAAAAAAAGGGUCUAGCCGGGCUAGGCUCGGGCUUAGUAUUUUUUUCCUCAGGCCGGGCCUAGACAAAAUUUCAGGCCCAUAGCCUAGGAAGCGGGCUGAAUUUUUUUUGGGCCCGGCCCAUGAUCACCUAUAGUUUAGAUCCUUCUAUUUAUAGGCCUAGGGUUGGUCAUCAAUUGUUGACCUAAUUCGGCUGACGUUUUGCAUUGAAGUUUGUUGUGCAAACACCCUUGGUUAAUUAAUUCAUCAUGUCAUGUCGGUGUCGUGACACCCUCUGGUCUAUGUCGCGACACUAAUGGUAGUUUACUAGCUGGGGCUUGAUUUUAGGACUAUGUCGCGACACUCUCUUUCUACAUUGCAAAAGCUUACGAAAUUGAUGAAAAACUUGGUACUCCAAUUAAAGAACAUAUGCUUUUGCUUAUGAAGCUUUGCGUAAGUGAAGGACAAUGGGCUGGUUUAGAUCAUAACACUUAGACAAAUAUGGUGCUCAAAUAUCUAAUAUUAUUAUUUUUAUUAUAUUAUUAAAAAUUCCACGAGUCAACUAAGGGUAUUUUUUUAACAGUGAUAAUGGUAUGGGCCCAUAAUGGUUACCGGAUUUGACAAAAAAAAUGUAUCUAACUAAAAGAAUUGUUAUAGUUUGAGGGUUGUGUAUUGAACUAAGCUUUUUUUAUAGUAGUGAUAUAAAUAUCCUUUUCUUGUCUACCAUUUAAUUACGCCAUGAACAUCAGCAAAAAUGUCUGCGGUUGACUAACACCGUUGUUUGUUUUUGUUUUUUUUAAAUAAUUAGAGAUUUUAGCUUAGUAGGUGUAAGCAACAAUUAUUUGUCCAUUUAAUAUUAUAUUUUGGCGUGAUUAAAACGGAUCAUUUGUUAAUAUGAACGCAAAUGUGUCAUUAUCAUUAUUUGUCCAUUUAAUGUUAUAUUUUGGCGUGAUUAAACGGGAUCAUAUUAUUGAAUAUAUCCUAAUAAGUAAUCUAAUCUAGAUACUGAAAAUCUAAUAAUCUUCGUUAAUUAUAUUAUGGUAAAUUCUGCAUCAAUAUUCACCUUCUUUUCUCUUGUUAAUUUUAAAUUUCUUGAAUGAUAAGAAUUUUUAUUUGUGGAGUUCAUUAAUAAAUAUUUUUAUAUAAUUGAUGAAUAUUUUAUAUUUGAAAUUUAUUCAAUAUCAUUUAUUUAAUAUUUGUAAAUAUUUAUAUGUAUUAAAUUCUUUUUUAAAAUAUCAAUAAAUUUGAAAUGAUAUAUCGAAAUAGAUAGGUACCGUUAUGUGCCAGUUCUAGUAGAAAAAUGGUGUGCCCACCGGUGUUGUAAGCUCCCCGACCCGACCUAGAUGCUAGAUCGAAUCUAGAAGACAACAUCAGCCAUCGAGAUGGCUUACCAGGGUUAUCUAAGUUUAGAAAGCAACCAUUUUAAAACCUUCGUUUAAUUUAGUAGAAAAAUUCAAUUACAAACCGUUUUAUUAUUCCUCAAAAUCUUAAUUUUAAUUUACUAACAAAAGAAAUGAUAUCUAUUGGUUUUAAGGAAAACCGGGGGUUCAUGCAUACAAAUUAAUAAUUAUAGCAUAAUAUCUUAAAAUUUUAAAUAAAAUGUCAUGCAAAAUAAAAUCUCAAAUCUAAAGCCUAGGUUCCAUGCCAUAGUUCGAAAUAAAGUAGUACAAACUAUAAUAAUAGGAUAACCCAAAUAAUAAGUCUAAAUAAAUUGAAAUUUUGAACCCGAGCCGAGAUGCUCCGGUUGCCACGUCUGCGUUCCUAACCUUGUGGGUUAUCUUUAAGGAUGAAAAUUUAAGGGGGGGAGUGAGCUCUAAUGCUUAGUGUGAGUUCAAUCACAAGAAAAUUAGUGCAACAGUUAGUAAGAUACAUUAGAUAAUAUCGCAUAAAAUAUUCACAAUCAGAGAACAAUUCAAAGUAUCGAUUUUUCAAAGCAAAACCACCAUUAAUAUAUCAGAACUCACAAUAGUAGUUUUCAGAAUAACCAAAUUUUCAUAUUUACCCACAAUGAACAUAUAUAGACACAUAUAUAUAAUAAUAGAUUUUCCAGAUUUGUAUGCACAUGUGUUUAAAAUGCCAUGUAGUUUUGGUUUUUAACAAAAUAGAUCCUACCUCACCACUACACACUAUAAUGGGAGUUAACUAGAACUCCCUUCUCCAACACAAUGGGAUAUGGAUAAACCACUAUUGGUUCGCAGAUAAUAACUUCCAUUUGCCUGUGGACACAUAGAAAGUCCCCGUAGUUGGAAUCUGCCUAUAGUAGUGGGUUCACAGCAAAAAGUCCUACAGAUGAAACCUGCUUUUUGGCUAUAGUUUAUACAACAUAAACCUGCAGCUAGAAUCUGCCUUUGCCUAUGGAUACACAGCAAUACCCGUAGAUGGAAUUUGCCUUUGGUUGUGGAUGCACACAAAACAGAUGAAUGCAGAUAAACUGCCAAACUUCUUCAUAUCAAAUCAUCUAAACCCAAGCAAUGCAAUGCGGCAUAUUUAAUAUAGAUCAAGCAUGAUAGCAAUUAAUGUACUAAUACAUGACAAAUCAGUAGCAAAAUCAUGCAUUUCAUGUAUUCGGAUUAAUAGUAACAUAGGUCAUGUCGUUCAUACGAUCACAAGUAUAGAUACAGUAUUAACAUAUACUAUUCGUAAUUUAUGCAAAUAUACAUAUACAAAUAAACACCGCAUUAAUUUGAUCAAUCAUGGUUUCUAACAUAUUUCAUAUCCUCAAGGACCCGAUUGCAUAAUUUCAAACACUAAAAAUAGUUUAGAACUUAUUCAGGGAUUCAUCUGAUCAAAACAUAAAAUUCUGGGUCAAAACAGUAAAAUCUUAGUUACAGGGUACAGACGACUGUGUUAUCGGAUCAUGUCGGAAGCCUUGGGCCGUGUGGAUAGAAUGUACAACCGUGUGGCUAGGCCGUGUGGGUCAUGCAAAAUUAAGCUUAAGGGGUGACACGGUUGUGUGGGAGGCCAUGUAGAGGGUCCUAGGCCAUGGGAAAGUCGAACAUCCUAGGGUUUCAAGGGGGCAUGGCCGCGUAUGGGGGAUGUGUGGUCCACAGGCCCCUAUGGUUGGCCAUGUGGCUCUAUUCGUGGGUUAUGGAGAUUUUUUAGGUUUUGGAUAAUCGGCAAUUCAAGCCUUUCAUAGUUUUGCAACAUAAAUAAGUAGGUUUUAUAUGUUUUUUCACCAGGAUGCAAAUGAUUUACUUGUCAUUUGCUCCAAAUUGAAUUAAAAUUAGAAUUAUAUGUGCAUGGACUGAAGUAAAAUAAAUUACAAAAUCACCAAACCAUGAAAAACUUGAAUUGCCAAUUACCAAAAACCUAAAAACCUGCACACCCGACGUUGUUGGUGAACUUGGCAGCAACUUUCCCUCCCAGGCUUUUCUUUAUAAAAAUCAAACAGGUUUUUUCAGGCCACAUCACCAAAAAAAAAAUUGCUUCUAUAGUGGAUUUUUUGUUCUAUAUAAAUUUAAAAAUAUAUUUUUUAAAACUUCAUACAAGUGCCACCUAAUGAUUGGCAUAUGAUUGGGUGAGAUUUAAUAUGGUGUCUUCUAACAGUUUGGCGGCACCCAAUGACACAAUAAAAAACAUUCCAUUUUUGAAAAUAAUCUAGAUCCUAUAUCAUUUUCAUAAUUACUUUUUUUAUAUUAUUUUGAUAAAAAGUCUGAUUAUUUUGUGGAUCUAAAUGAGCUAUUCUAGCUAUCUUUUUGUCAUGCAGCUUUGACAAGAGAAAUAAAAAAGCCAUAACGUUCCCCAUUUUGAACCACCUCCGACCACAACAAACUAGAAAACACAACUACCUUGCCAUGAACAUAAUCACCCAAACAUAAACAUGAUAUAUAUUCCUUUUGUUCCCAUCUUUAUAAGAAAUUAGAACCUUUAAUAUUGUAACACCCUAUACCCAGUCCGGUCGCCGGACCCGAGCUAUAGAAUGUCACAUUAACCACAUAAGUGACUCUCCAUUUAAACACAACUUAACCUCCAACAAACCAUAAGUUAAAACAUAAAACAUGUUUACAUUUAAUAAAUCACAAGCUCAUGAACUCGCAUCGCUUGCUUCAUGGUACACAAUAGUAGUAACAUGCGAACCUACAUCGCUUGUAUGAACUUAACUACUCUUUCCCUGAAGACAUAAUUAUUUGAUGAAAGGAAUUAAGAACAUGCGAACUCUAAGUUUUGCGGAGCAAUAUACCUCGCAGAACACAGCAAUGCAACUGUCUAACGUCGGAGUUCGCACCCAUGCUUACCUCAUGCAUUCUAAGUCUUCUUUGGGGUAAGUUUCCUUAAAUAGGAUAGGUCUUUGCGUACCCUUAUGUGUUUAUAUUCUGCGAACAUGUUUAGCAGGGUCUCUCCUAAUUCCGUGUAGCAAAAUUUAUUAAGGGUUCGCAAGUACUAGUUUGCCAAUUGUUCGGGUUCACACUUUCCACAAUUCGAUAACCUUAUCACUUCGUAAAGACUGUGGCGAACUCUAUAUAGGUUACUCAAGUUGAUUUAUUACAUGUUUUGCUUAUGGCAAACACAGUUAAAGAUUAAAUACUUAAGCAUUUACUUGCAAAUUAAAAAAAUAUUAGUAAAUCUUUGAAGUAUAUUCGUAUACUUAAAAAUUUAGGUGUGCAUAUAUAGUUUUAUCGGUUUCUAAGAGAUAUUGAAUACAAAUAUAAAACAAAACUAAGACUUAGAGCAAUUGGUGAAGUCUAUAGAUAGAAAGAAAUCACUAAGCCUAAGCGAAAACCCACAUUUGCCUUUAUGUCCAGAGUUCGCUUAUAUCACAUUGCCAAUGUUUAUACUCUGUCUGGAUCACUCGCCGUCGCCGCUACACACUGUGCGAUCUAACUGUCUUCAAUGUUUAGAGAGGAAUGUGUAAACUCUUGUGAACUCAAUGAAUAUACAAGAAAACCACAUAGCAUGCACAAAAACAUAAGUUAAACAAGUGUUUAAACAAAGUUACGGAUCUAUGAACCGAGUUCACCAUAUUUACAUGAAGCUUGGUUCGCAGCUAUCUUCUGUUAGUUAGCUUAAAACAGUAAAACAUAAUAUUUUGAAAAACACAAUCUUAUUCACAUGUUCUUUUCUGUUGGAUAAGUGGAUCUCCUUAUAACUCCUCACUUUGACUCAAAGAGUCUUAAUAUGUCCCAUAAGUGUAGCAUAAAGCUUAGCACUCUCCAAACACACCAACAUAUCCCAUUGAAUGGAGCUUAGCUUGACAUUCCCUUAUUUCCCCUACCCUAUCCCAAGGCCUCUCGCCCAAAACGUAAAACACAAAGAUGAGUACUCACAUUCCUAUGGCAUGUCAUUAUAUCUAACGGUUUCAGAAGAUUAUAGUUUCAAUACAUUCACUUAAACAUAGAGCUCAGAAAUCAAGAGGAGCUCAUAGAACACUAUUCAUAAUUAGCUUGCAUAUUACUGUUCACAAAAACACAUAUUUAAACUCAAUCACAAAAUAGAGUUUUAGCAAAGACUUACUCUCAAAACUUAGGAUAAAUCCCUAAGCUCCUAAUUAACUCUAUGGUUUGCACAUACAAGUGGUAACCCCUGAACACUCACCAAUUUGCUGAAAGCUUUUAAACAAGAUUCGCUUUUCCCUUGUCUUUGCUUGUAGAUAGUUCUAUCAAGUUCGCAAUUCCACAACAAAGACAAGUUACUAACAGGCAAAACACAUUAAGACUUAUACAUAAACACAAGUGAACCUAGGUUCGGACAUAUUAGUCUUUUGGCGAACCUAGUUUCCUUUGCUGCGACCUUUUCUUAAUUAUUUCUAAAUAUUAACACAACAGAGAAACAUAGUCUUACCUUAAAUCCUAAGAGCUAAGUUCUAAGUUCUUGUUUUUGUGGAAACUUGACAACAAGAUAAUCGAUAAAGGAAUUUGAGAGAGUUUUGUCAUUCAAAAGAAUAUGAAUUUUUCAAUGAAAAGAGCUUAAUUUACAGACACUAGGUGUUUUGAUGUUCUUAGGAUGCCCUAGUCGUAGUAGAAGUAGAAAAGAGUUACAUGCAUGAGUGGUGUUGUGAAGGGGAAAAUAAGUCAACUUUCUAAUUUUGGCGUAACUGCCCUUUGGCUACUCCUAAUUUUAAUCAUCGAUCCAAUCCAUUGAUCAUAGCUCACCUGAUUCACUGGCAUCCACAACUCGCUAGUCCCACUGGUGACCCCAACUCGCCUGGCUCAAACUUCAAGUGUCACAUCCCGAAAACCAGGUUAGGAGAAUCGGGUAAGUAAAUCAGGGGUUAGUGAAUCAAAAACCUUAAUUAUAUUAUAUAAAUAAAAAAUUAGGAGUUAAUUAAAUAAAAUAUUAGAAUAAUUGGAAUUUAUAAUUUUAGGUUAGGAAAUUAAAAUUAGGUGUCUGGGAAUUAAUUUGAUGAAGAAGGAUUUAAAAAAACAAAGAGGUUUGAUUUAAAAAUAAUUUUGAAAUUGGUUUUAAUUGAAAAGUAAGGACCUAUUUGAAAAAGGGAAGAAACUGGAGGUGGUUAAAUGGGCAAUGGCCCAAUUUUUAAAAAUGGGUUGCCUAUUUAACAACCCCACGUCUCCUUCCCUCGCAUUCUUCAUCUUCUUCAAAAAUUUUCCAACCACCAAAUCAAAGCUUUUUUCCCCAAUUUAGGUCAUCCUUUUUUAUGCUUAAGCUCUCUAAACAUAAAACCUCAUUUCAAUUUUGAAGAGUACUCAUGUUUUCAACCUCAAUUUCUCUAAAGUUCUUUACACGUUCAAAGCUCGAAUCAGCUCCAUAGCUCAUCAAUUUUGCAAAAUUGAGGUGAGAUUCUAACUUUUUAUGAUUAAACUAAGUGGGUUGUUAUUUAUAUUUAAGAUUUAAAUGAUUUAAUCAAUAUUUCAAUAUAUCAAUUUAUUUUUAGUUGAUUUUUGGAUUAAAAAUGGUAGAUAUCGUAUUUCUUGGCUAAGCUUUGGCUUUAAAGUGAUUUCUAGCUCAUUUUGAUAUAAUUAAAAGGUAUUUUAUCUUAAUUUAAAAAAUCCUUAAUGAAUUUAAGCAAAUUGAAUGUAAGCUUAUUUUUUGAAAAAAAUUAGAUCAGUAAAAUUGGAUGAAAUUGAUGGUUUGGAUAUGUAAUUAGAUGAUAUUUAGGAAUAUUAGAAUCAAAAUUAAGGCUUAGAGAUCAAGUUUGAGUGGUAAAACACCUAUUUCGGUAAAACCAGUUAAACUUUCGGUAUGAGAAAAGUGAGCUUCGAAUGGUGAUUUUGCUACUGGUUUUUUUAGUUUAAGGCUGAUAAUUAUGAUUUUAUAUUGUAUUUAAUGUGUAUGCAAUGUUUCAGAUUCAUCGAGAGAUUUCACGAGCAAUGUGAAAGGGUAAUAAAAGUUUGUUUGACAUUGUUUUGCAAGAUGUAUUGACUAAGGUGAGUGGUUUGGUAUACUACAUUGAAACUCUAGUACACAGGCUAAGGUAGCAUAUGCAAAUCCUCUGCUUAAUUAAUAUGUGAACCUUGACUUCUUCAUUAUGCAAAUCCUUAUAAUUUUGGUUAAAUUGUUGAGUAUAUAUACUAUGUGAUUUUAAUGGUGCAAAAUGCAUGAACUUAUAAUAUAUAUACAUUGACUUUAUUUUGUAUACAAUAUAUAUUAGGUGUUAUAUAUAUAAUAUCAACGAGGGAGCUGGUAAUAUAUAUAUAUAUGCGUGAGAUUGGAGUCAUAUAUAAUAUAUAUGAGUGCUUUGGUGCUAAGUAAUAUAUAUGCAUCUUAUAUAUAUUAUAUAUAUGUGUUGGUUGUAAUAUAAAUAUAUACACGUGGGUGGUUAUACAUAUAUUAUAUAUGUGCAUGACUUUAUCUUAUAUAAUAUAUAUGCAUGUCUUUAUUUUACCUAAUAUAUAUUAAUGGAUUUUGGUAUUAUAAUAUAAUAUAAUAUAAUAUAAUAUAAUAUAAUAUAUACGCAUGGUUCAAUAUAUAUAAUUACGAGAAUGGUUUUUAUAAUAUAUAAAUUUAUGAGUGUAUGUUUAAAAUUUGAAGUGGCAAAGGUCAUUAAAUAAAUAUGUAUAUAUAUAAUAUAUAUUCCUAUAUGAUUUUGUAAUAUGUAUGAACGGAUAUAUGAAUAAAUAAUAUAAUGUGGACUCUUAUAAUAUGCAAAUUUUAUCAAUAAUGUAUAUCUAUGCAUGCACAAAUCCGUAAGUGAAUUAUGAUAUUUAUGAUAUUGCGAGCCAAUUAUAUUUGUGUAUUGUGUUAUAUUGUGAACCAUGUUAACCUGACGAAUUAUAUUAUUAUAACGAACUGUGUUAAUUUGGUAAUCUGUAUUAAUAUGGCAAACUGCAUUAAUUUGUCAAAAUGUGUAUUGGGAGAUUUUGAGCUACAUUGCAUGCAAGCUAAGGUAUUGUGUGCCCUAUGCUAAAUAAAAUAUGCGAAAAAUGAUUUAUGUGUGCUAAAUCAUGAGUGAUAUGUGAACUGUGUUAUAUGUGCAAUAUAUGUUGCAUAAAAGUGACAUUAUUUGCGAACCAUGGUCUAUUGCGAAUUGUGACUUGCACACUAUGUUAUAAUGUGCGAGCUCUACUUAACUGCGAGCCCUAUUAUACUGAAUAUUUUGAAUAUGUUAAAGAGAUAUUUUGAAAUUGUGACCUUAUGGAACCAUUGUAUAUAGUUGGCAUGCUAUAGGAUUGUGAGCACUCACCCUUUUUUAUUGCGAUGGACAUUGUGGCUUGGAGAUGUGUGGGAGAGAUAAAGGAAUGUCGAGCAUGGCUCCAUUCACUUUAGAUAGCGUGGUGUGAUUGGAGAGUGUGAGCAUACGUGCUACACUUACAUGGAGUUAGCUUACAACUUUAUGAGUCAUGUGGUGUGUUUCGGACAUCCGUUUAUCCAAUGUGUGGUGAUAAAGUCCACUUAUAGGUGGUGACAAAGUCCCCUAUAAGUUUCAUAAUCAAAAAAAUGCAAAAUUUAUCAGUAUUUUAGAUAUAUGAGUUAUGAUGGAGCAUGAACUUUUAUUUCGCAUGAAGUGUUAUUCGAUAUGAACUGAUAUUUCAUAUGAACUAUUAUUUUGCAUGAGUUGUCGUUUGGUAAGAACUGUUAUUUCAUAUGAACAGAUGUUUGGUGCGAAUUGAUAGUUUAUGUGAUUUCUCCAUUUUGUGCGAAUUACUUAUUAUUUGUGCACUGCUUAUUGUAUGAGAAUUGUUGUGUUGUGUAAGUUACUAUUUUGUGUAAACUGCAAUAAUAUGUGAACUGUUAUUGUUUGUCACCUUUUAACCUAAUUGAUGUGUUUAUUUGUAGUAUGUUUGAGCACUCAUUGAGCUUUCAUAAGCUCACCCACUCUUUUAUAAUAUUGCAGUAACUUACCUUGUGAAGAGGUGUGGGAGUGAGUCAUCCAAGUGAUUCAAAUCGAGGCUAUAUCUAGGAACAUCAUUAUGUUCCCAAGCCUAAUGAGGAAGGCAAUGUGGGACUAAGUUAUGGGAUUUAGUAUUAGACUUAUAAUUUUCGGGUUGUAAUGGGACACUGUGAACUAUUUAAUUGUUUGGUUUAAAACUUUUAUCAUUGCGUUAGAUAGAUGAUUGAAUGAUGGAUUAUGAUUGUUUGAUAAUUUGUUUGAAUAAUUCUUAGACUAACUUGUAAGUGCAGGUUGAAGAGUUGUUGGUCAUCGAGGUAAGCCUUAGAUGUUUUAUGUGUGAUUUAGAUACAAACAUGUGCUUGGUAUGCAUGAGAUGUAACACAAAAUUUGGUCAAGUUAUGUAAACUGUUAAAUGUCUACUAACUAAUUAAUUUAUAAUGUUAUGAGGUUGUGCGAGAUGCUUUAAUAAAUUUUCCAAAAAUAAGACUUAUACGUUAAAUCCUACAAUCCUAUUACUAAAAUUUGUGAAAUGGAAUCUUUCCCAACAUAUUACUAUUCAUUACGUUUUAAAUCUAGUUAUAUGUUUUUAAACUAAACAGUUUUUUUCCAAGUCCCUACAAAUACAAUAUUUUAAAAAUAUUGUACUGCAUGAAUGUAUGUUUAACUAAAGUUUUCUAGGUAAUUGUCUAUUAAGUAUUAAAUUGUGAAUUAGUCUUGUUGUUGAUUGUUGAUCAGAGCAACACAACGGAAGCAUGAUAUUAGGUUUUUAUUAAAUAUUUCAUGAUUAAUUGUGUGGUGUGAUUGGUCGAUUGGUGUGCAUUGUGGUGGUUUUAAAUGGAGAGUCACUUCUGCGACUAAUGUGACAUUUGAAAUUUGGGUCGGACCGUUCCGGCUGAGUUUGGGGCACCACAUCAAAGCCCUAUUUUGAGAUGUUACAAACAUGUUUGUCAAAGCAGCUACGAAAGAAAUAUAUCUCACUUGGCAUUGCAAAAUGUAAAUCAAAAGAUCCACUUGUCAUUGCCACUUGUCAAGACAUUUGUUGCAAACAAAAAAAAAAUUAUAGGAGUAAAAUUUAAAUUUCAAAAGACUACAUGAACCUUUUCAUGUUUAAAUGAAAAGCAAAUAACCUAAUCAUUAAUUCAUACUUCCACUUUUUUGCUUUUGUUUCUUGAUCAUCAAAAAUCAUGAUUGUUUAAACCAGAUUAGAUCGACUUAUUAGACUAGGAAUCGACUAGCACAUCGAUCCAAAAAUCGAUUAUUAGACCGCCAACUACGAACUAGAUAAACUGAUAAAGAUCGAUCCAACCGAUUGUUAUGGUUUUGAGACCAAAUUUCAUCUAUCCCAAAUCGAACAAAAAGAAAACCAACUAGCCACCUACCCCUAAAAAAUUUAACACCCAGCCUUAAAAUCAAUAUAAUUUUUUUAAAAAAGAACCCCUAAUCUAACUAUUGUAUUACUAAAACCUAUUAUAAGCACGGUGUGAAAUAGAUUAACUGAACAGCUAGAAGCUUUCUACGUACUUUUUAGAGUGGUUUAAAAUAAAUAAGAAAAAUAAAAAGAAGAUGAUGAGAGAAAACACAAUAUUCUUUAUAGUUUUAGAUUUUGGAAAAAUAAGUAAGUAAUAAAGCUCUUGACUUCAUCAUUGGUAAAAAAAAAAGUCAAUAAAUUUUGGAAUGACAAAAAGUGUAAAGUAUGAUAUUGAGUCAAAGGGUCAACGUACCUUACUAGUGAUAUCCAUAAGCAUUAUAAGCUUUGUGCUCCUUACUUGAGGUUGCUCGGGCAGGCGCCUAGAUCUAAUAGUUUUGAGCAUAGGCUUUGCUAUGCAAAUUCAAGGCUUCAAAAUUCCUUCUUCAUUUUGUGCUAACUACUUGAGUUGAAGAGGAAGCCAGUAGAAACUUCAAAAAUACAAGAGAUGGAAAGGGUGCUUUGUGGAAGACCAUUUGUGCUUUGUUUAAGGCCUAUCCUAUCAUGUGUAUGGGCAAUUAGCCUUUGUUGGGCUUGGUUGUUUGGGUCUGAGUUUGAUUUGAGUUUAUUUCUUUAGGUAUGAGAUUGUAGCAUAUUGGAUAUUAAUAAAUUUAUUAAAAAAACCAUGAGGAGAGGAAUUUUCCCUCCAUUUUUAAAAUUUUUCUUUUACAAUUUUCAAACAGUAUUUUAUGCUGGUGUUAAGGUUGAUGUUGAGAUUUUUUUUUUUUUUGUUAAUAUUUUCCAUUUUUGACCAUCCACUACAGAAAGCCACCCACCAAGCCCAGGCAAGUACCGACCGUGGCUUUUGGUCCAAGAUUAGAUAGACGAUAUGGCGAAGGGGGCAGGAGAUUAAAUUGAAAUUUCCAUUUAUUUUUUUCUUUCUAAUUUUUUUAAUAUUUUUGACUUAUAUAUAUUUAUAUAUUUUUAUUUUUUAGCGAUAAAUCCCAAACUAUACGUGAACUAUGGUUUAAUGUGCAAUUGUAUAAAUUGUCAGAUAAUUACAUCAUCAUUAUCACCCAUAAAAAGAGCAAAUUAAUUUUUUCUGUUAAAAAUUUCAUCCAUUUAUACGGUUAAAAACUGGUGGUUGACAGAAUAACUGUAUAGUGACAUAUGAUGUGCCAUGUGUACCUUAUGUUGAUGUACGUCGACUAAUUUUUAACUAUAGAAAUAGAUUAAAUUUUUAAUAGAAGGACCAGUUUGCUAUUUGAUCUAACAUACAAAGACCAAUUUUGCUUUUUUUUUUAAGUAGAGAAGAUAACAUGUAAUCUAAGUCCUAAUACAAUAAAUUUCAUGAUAAUUUUACCCGACUAUCAUACGUGAGAGUAGUGAAUCUAUAGCAUAUAUUUAAAAAAAAAAAUCCCCUAUAGGGUGAAUGCUUGAAACAUGUUAACUUAAACUAUAAGUUUUUUUAAAGAUUUUAGUUUAUAAAUUUUAAUGCAAUUAUGAGUUUAUAAGAAUAUUUUAUAUUUAUUUUUAAGUUUGUUUUUUUUAAAUGAGUAUAUGGUUUAUUUGUAUAAUUUUGAGAUUUUUUUUAGUUUUCUUUAAAUGAGUAUAUUUUUUAGUCUUUUUAGUUUUUUUAAAGCUUAUCACAUACGCUUUGUUAACGAUAGCAGAAUACUGUUGUAUGCGGCUUAUUGGGCUUAUUAUUUUGAAAACUGAACCGUUUUCUUGAAUCUUUUUCUUUAAAAUGACGCUCACUUAACCCUAAACUAUUCACUAGUUAUUUUUACUCAGAAAGUUCACGAGAUACCACCAGCAAGAAGAGGAGUUAUCGUUUAUAGGUAAAUGUCUUUGGACUUUCAACUGUUAUUUCUAUUAUCUUCUACCAUGGUUAGGGUUAAAAAUGGUUUGGGUGGUCGGGGUGGUGGCUACUCUGGUCGUGGUUGUAAUGCCCUCAACCCGACUCGAUUUGCUGGCUCCGAAUAUCACACGUUACUACACCAAUUAUUAACAAAUUUUACAAAACAAUAUAAUAUUACUCAUUUCCUUAAGUAUUCUAUUUAUUAUUUUAACUGAAUAAUUAACGUUUUAAUACAGGAGAAAUGUUUCGAAAUAACUAGUUACAAUAGAGUUGACAUGAAACAUUACAAAAUAGAAGUUUAUUAAUGACAUAUACAGAUGGUGUAGUCCUAGACUAUGCCACUUUUAUGCCACUUUUCCGUUGUAUGCAUAAUAGCCCAUACCGCCAACACCUUCGCAUACUCUUGACAUCGUCUCUCCUGGCGCAAACUCGUUCCAAACCUGAAAAUAAUAACAAACAUUGUAAGUCCAAGAGUACUUAGUGAGCUUUGUUACAGAAACACCAUGAUAGGCACUUUGCAUUCUUGUAUGAAUUAUAGCCUGCAAACCAUUCUUCUAAACGAAUAUUUUGGGUAGAUAUCACUUCAGUUUCAACAUACCCUUAUAAGCCAACUAUCAUGCUCUUAUUAUACUCAUAUCUUCCUUAUUUAAUUAACUAACGGUCCUUCCUAACAUUUCUUAAGCUUCUAAAGCACACAUAUAAUUCUCAUUAGAACAUAUCCUCGGAGUUCACUUUUAACGAUCCAUGCCUUAACACAUACACUUAACUCAAAACAGUUAUUCAUAGACAUUUUUCACGGAUGAAUACUUAUGCAGAACUGGAUACCACUAAAUUCACACUCAACCAUUGUAACACCCCUCACCCAGCAUGGCCGCCAGACCCGAGUUACAUGAGACUACAACAUUAUCGUAACUUUACCACAUACACACACAGCUUCAAGCAAGAACAAUUUUUAUUAUUUUAAGCAUUUUCAGAGGUGAUUGCGAUUAGACAAACAUUAUACAACAUUCGAAAUAGUUUAAAUACAUGCUUAGGGACCAUAUAGCAAAUUUCCAAAAAAUAAUGUAGGUAUCGAUACACAAUAGUAGGUAUCAAUAUUUUGGGAAGUCGGGUAUCGAUACUAAUAAGAAAAUCAAUAACAUUCCAGCAUUUUAUUUUUUCAACUCAAGUUUAAAUCAAAAUGUUUUAUCGAUACAUAAACAAAGGUAUCAGUAUUUUUACCUCGAGUAUCGAUACUCGUAAAAAAAGUAUCGAUACCAAAUUCAGUUACUGUUUUCCUGCACAUACAUUUGAAGAUCUAGGUAUUGAUAUUUAUGCCUCGAGUAUCGAUACCCCUAUGCAAAUCAACCAAAUCACAACCACAAUAGAGAAGUAUUCAUGCUAAAAAAAAUAUCUUCCUCACACGCAUUACCCACCACAAUCUCAUGCAUCGAAAUACCUACAAAUGAAGUCCAAAAGCGUAAAAGAAUGAAUAAAACUAUAACAGUAAACAACCAGAGUUCUAGAAGUCCAAAAUCAUAAUAAACCAACAAAACAAUAAUAAUAACUAGCAAAGAUUCUACCCACAUUGCCUUUAUUCCAAAAGUCCAUAAGAACAAUAUAAUCAACUACUCAAGUUAGUAUUGCCUAGCUUAGAUCACUUCCUUGGUUGCACCGCUCACACCAAAAACACUACUAACCUACAAGGAUUUAGUAAGGGUGUGAGCUUAAACAAGCUCAGUGAAUGUAUUAGAAUUUACCACAAGCAUGCAUUUCUGUAACACCCUAAACCGGGCUUGGUCACCAAGCCAAAAUACGGGAUGUCACACCACCGUCUCAUGUCAUAUACAAUAAGUAAAAGUUUAUUCUAAACGAAGCGUCUUCCAUUUUAGUAUUCGUAUAGGUUUUAAGUCAAUUAACUUGUUAGUUAUCAAUGUUACAUGCUAACCAUACACCAAAUAGUCUUAUAAUAAUAAUUAACCAUGCAUAAGGUCCAUGUAACAAAAUUUCUAAAACUUGUUCGUAGGUAUCGAUACUAACACUUGGGUAUCGAUAUUUUCUCUAGGUGGUAUCGAUACCACUUGGAAAAAUGAUACCAAACUUGCAUUUUGUUUCUCGACUAAAAUCCCAAAGUCUCAAAAAUUAUCGGUACUUGUCAUGAAAUUUUGAUUUUUGACCUUGAGCAUCAAUACUCAAGCAAAGGUAUCGAUACCAAAUCUCUAAUCUAACUUUCUGCAUGUUUCAAAACAUAGAGGUAUUGAUUUUUAAGCUCGACUAUCGAUACCCCUACUCUAGACCUUAAUAAUGUAGCAUACACAAUCAAAUAAUGUAACAUCCCAAAAAUCGGGGGUUAGUAGAAUCAGGUUUGUGAAUCGAGAGAGAGUGGUCAUGCCUUAACUUUUGAGAUUAUCUAUGUAUUUUUUUAGGAAAUAAAUGAGGUAUUGGUUUAUUGGAUAAGUGUUAGUGAAACCUUCCUUGAAACCCAAGUUCAAAUCCCUUCUCUCUCACCAUUUUUAUUAUUUUACAAAUUUUGCCUUAAACCCUAGUAUGUGACAUGCCUUGUUUUUAAAAUAAAUAUUGCAAAGUUAUUUCCAGAAUGAGGAAGAAGCCUAAUGUUGAAAAGAAAUAUGAGAAAGCAUGGAAAUGAAAUGAGGUCCCAAGUUCAAAUUCCUUUCCUUAUGAAAUAAUUUAAUUUUUGGUAGAAAUCCCUUGUUUUUAAUGGGUGUGCCACCCAAGCCUUGUAAACCUAGGUCUAAAUGUUAAUUUUUCAGAAAUAAUCAUCUUUAAUCCUCUUGCUCAUUGCCCUAACCGUUCAUCUCCUCCUCUCCCUCUCAUUGAUUUUUUUUCCUUUCCUCCAUUAAUGUCGUCACCUACAACUCACAUUUUAUCAUCUUUUUUUUUUCUUUUUGCAUCAAGAUUGGGCACCAUCUUCUUUAUUAUAUUGCUUCCAUUUAUCAUCCCAAAAUCUAAAAUCUUGAACCCCAAGAGCGACCCCGAAUAUUUCCAAGAAAGUGUCAUUGUCAUUUCUCUCAACUAGCUUGGAUAAGAUAUCUUUUCUCUUCAAUUUAUUGAUUAAUAUUGUCAAUUAAAAGCCAAAAUUUCCAGAUCUAGAAUUUAGGGGAUUUAAAAAUUUUUUAAUGGUAUUUUCUAAAUUUUAAUGAUAUCUCAAACCGUUUUAAAAUUUAGCCCCAAUUUUAGCCACCAUUGGUGGUGGUGCCUGGGGUUGUUUUGUUUCUUAGGUCUUGCCCAUAUUUUUCCAGCAUUAAAUUUUGUUCUUUAAUCCUCCUAAUCAGCCUUUAAUCACAUGUUUAUUAUGGAGAUAUGUUCUUGAUGAAUUAACCAAUCGGAUCCCACAAAUAUUGAAGUGUAAGUGAUAUCAAGGAUAACUAGUUUGUUAUUUCGACAUAGUUGUUGGGUAAAGGUUAUGAAUUGAUUAAAUGAAGAAAUUUAAUCAUUAAUUAGCUACUUAUUUUCCAGUAUAUUAUUGAAUUAAGUGUUGAGCCAAACGCCUCAAAUUAUUCGUAAACCGAAGAACGAUUGUACGUACGGUUCGCAUCGAUACAAUGUAAGGAAUUUAACUAGUUUGGAUUCAUAAAAUAGUUAUAAUUUCAACGAUUGGUUUGAACUCAUAAGUGGGUGUUUGGGGGAUGGUUUAAUGGUAAAUUGAUUGAAUUUAUACUGAAUUUCAGUUUAGGUUCGUUUAAGGAAUUGUUAAGGAAAAUUGGAAGAUUCGCUAGUGUACUGCGAGAAAGCGAAAAAUAAGGUGUGGGUCCUAAACUCAUAAAAUUGUUUGAAAAUGUUAAAUAUCAAAUUAUAUUUGAUAAAUUAGCUUGCUGAUUGGAUUGAAUUAACAGCCAAAUUAUUGGUUCACUAGUCAAUGCAUUGCACCUGGAGUACCGAGGGGAAUGGCAAUUUUUUCGCAUUUUUACUGGCAACUUGGCUGCAUUUUUACUGGCAGAAUUUUCCGUAUAUAGUUAUUGGUCGUUUUAACCAUAAUGGGCUUAAGCCCAUAAUGUUUUGGAGUUCGGAUGACGAGUUUUGGGGAACUCGUAGUGUGUAGCUGAUGGUAUGGGUAGGAACCUUUUUACAUUGUAUCAUGUGCACGACAUAUUCGAGUGUUAUUGAUUUAUGCUAUUUAUUGUAUUUUUUUAUAUUAAAUGGUAUCGUAAUUAAUUAUUGUUACUCGAAUGAAUGAUGACCAAUGCUCAUACACCAUUUGACAUCAAUUUGAUAAUGACUAUGUAAUGAUAUGAAAUUCCUAUGAUGGUUCUAUUUUCUUCUGUUAAAGCUAACCUAUUUCACUCUAUUCGAUAUUUAUGUUUGUUUAAAUAAUUGUUCGACUCACACUGAGCUUUUCAUAAGCUCACCCCCCAAUAUAGCCUAGUCAUUUCGAUGGCUAAUAUAGCUUAGCCAUUUCGGUGGCUAAUGUAGCCUUCUCAAUCUAGCCAUAAUGUCUAGGCUAGGUUUGGGAAUAACCCGUUUCAGUUUAGUUUCUAAACAUUAUGCAUCAAAAACAUAGAAAAAUAAUUAUCCAACAACUAAAUUCGACAGUUCAAAAAACAUUUCUGAGCUAGAAGCACCAUGCCAUCAUCGAUGUUUGUAAACCUAAGCAUAACCAUAACUCUUAAACCUUAUAAACAAAAGCAAUAACCAACAAAAUGUCUAGAAAAUAACAUGUCAAUAACCAAGACUACCACAUUUCCCUUUCCCCAAAAAGUAAUUAAAUAAAGAACACCUACAAAAUAACACAAAACUAGCUCAGAUCACCUCUUGAAAACCACACCACUCACACUGGCACACAACUAAUCUGCAAUGGGUAAAGAAGGGAGUGGGUGAGCUUAACAAACUCAAUGAAUGACUAGAAUAACCACAUCGCAAACAUAUCAUCACGCAUCCUCAAGACAACCAUAUAUAAGUUCAAUUACAAUAGUCAUAUAUCUAGUGUCGUAGAGUACCUAUCCAUGCAUUAUCUAUUGGUUCAUCUGCACAGUAUUUACAUACUCAUGCAACAUAUAUCAUGUAACACACAUAUUUAGUCAAGCAUAUAUCACAAUUCACACAAGUCACAUAUAGCGAAAAGUUGGCAAUAUAGCACAUACUCUAUUAAGCAUAAAACAUGUUCCACACAAUUACAUAUAAUAUGAUAGAUUGAUACUUGAGUUGCGAAACAUAUAAUGACCUCUAUCAUCACAUGUCGGAUACAUGAAUCUCCGAUCACACCAAAUGACUCGUAGAGUCAGACAUGUCCCAAAAGUGAAGUAUAUAACUAACACUCUCCUUAUUUCCCCUCACAUGUCUCAUUGUAUGGAUCUUAGCUCACAUCCCCUUAUCCCUCCAAAUAAUACUCACAAUUAAUAUACUUACAAGUACAACCACAAUGCUCCAUGAGCCACAAUAUCAUUAGAUCACAUAACACAUACUAAAAUAAUUCACAUAUUAAUUACUAUUUUUUUUAUAUCAAUUAUCACAACUCACUACACGUAUUCAUCACAAUUAAAAAAACAAAUGGGACAAGAAGGCUUAUUUUUGGAACUUAUGAUAAGGGUUUAGGCUACUCCUAAGCUCUCGUUUAACACUAUGAAUCGUGCCUACAAGCAGUGAUUCCAGAACACUCACCGUUCAUGUUUUCACUUGAAAAUCGCAAGCUCAAACUAGCUUUUUCUCACCUUUUGCCUUACUCGAAGAGGGUUCCAACAGUUCCAAAGCUUCAUAUAUAUAACCACACAACAUAUAUAAGCAAUUAGCAGCCAAAAUACAUAUUAAUUCAAACAAAAAUGCAGGUCCAAAACUAGCUCUUCUAAAAACCAGAAUUUUCUACUGGAUUGGCUAAAACUCAAAUAGGGUUUGUCCUAUUUUGAUUACUCUAAAUUUUUUCUCAAUUUAGUCGCUCUAAAUAAAAUAAUUGUGCAACUUAGUUACUAACUGCCUCCCAAGUACCAACACCAAAGGUGUGAAUACUGCUACUAAGGAUAGGAACUAAGGCGGUGUCCACAAGUAUAUGGGUUAGGUUGUAAUAUAGUUUACAACGAAGUAUGUAAGUAUUCGAGGAUUGUACCCUAGGAAGGAGAGACUAAACUAAUAUUAAUUUCUACGUUGAUGGGUCUAGUUAGUAAUUAAAUUAAAUUAUAUUACAAUAUAUCUUAAGGUCAUGAGAAAAUAUAUUUUAUAAAAAUAAGAUAAUUAAGAAUGGGAAUAGAGUGCAGAUUCUAUCAAUUCUAAUGAUAGAAGCCUAACUCAUUUUAGUGUUCAUAAUUUGCUUCUACUUAGGUUCUACUUAGGGCCUCUCUGUCUUCCACUAACCUAAUGAGUCGGCAAAAACUACUUAUCUCUCGAUGUCGCAGUCCAGAUUGGACAGGGGUAAGGUUUUAACGAAUAGGUAAUACUAAUUUUGGGUUCAUUCCCACCUAUAUGACUUCUUAAAGUCAUCAAGCCUAGGGUUUUAAGUUCUUCCUAUCCCCGACCAGCUGAUUUGCUAAGAAUCCCUAAUUAGAAGUUAAUGAAUCCCACUUCCACUCGUUAAUCUUCCUUACCGGAUUAGUUCCCCAUGGAUUUAACACAUACAAAGAAAUUGAUAAUAAAAGAUAAACAUUAUAAAAGAAAUCAAUAGUAGAUAUCAGAAAAAUCCUAAUAAUUUAUUAAUAGAAGCACGAACAAUAAUUCAUUGAAGAGUAUGACGAUAUACAAUCUGAUCCCCGUGAAAAACAAAAUAAAAGGAAAAACUAAACUAAUGAAAAACUUAAUUAAAAACUAAACUGAAUACAAAGCUAAAUAAAAAUUGUUCAUGAAGUGUUUGACCUAGGGUUAGUCAUCAAUCAUUGACCUAAUUCGGCUAACGUUUUGCAUUGAAGUUUGUUGUGCGGCUAAAAACACCCUUGGUUAAUUAAUUCCUCAUGUCAUGUCGGUGUCGCGACACCCUCUGGCCUAUGUCGCGACACUGAUGGUAGUUUACGAGCUAGGGCUUUAUUUUAGGACUGAGUCGCGACACCCUCUUGCUAUGUCACAAAAGCUUCCAAAAUUGAUGAACUCUAAGGAAAAGCUUGGUACUCCGAUUAGAGAACAUAUGUUUUUCCUUACGAAAUCUUUGCCUAAGUAGAGGACAAUGCGCUGGUUUAGAUCAUAACACUUAGACAGAGAUGGUGCUCAAAUAUCUAAUAUUAAUUUUUAUUAUAUUAUUAAAAAUUCCACUGUCAAGUAAUAAUUUGCUAAAGGGUAUUUUUUUUAACAAUGAUAAUGGUAUGGGCCCAUAAUGGUUACAGUAUUACAGUUUAAGUACUGGAUUUGACAAAAAAAUGUAUCUAACUAAAAAAAUUGGUAUAUUUUGAGGGUUGUGUAUUGAACUAAGCCUUUUUUAUAGUAGUGAUAUAAAUAUCUUUUUUUUGUAGAACGAUUAUUUUCCCUAGCCUAGUCCUAGGAAAGGUGAACACCUAGAUUAAUAGGUCACAAUUUUAAGUUUAGAAUAUAAUUAUAUUUAAUUGCAUUUCGUAUCAUAUACUCAUAUUGAUUUUUAUGACAUUUCAAGUUAACUUGUGACAUGAACUAAGCAAAAAGCUUUAAUAUAGUAUAAAUAUUAAAUAAUUGCAUAUUGGGACCCUCGUUUUAUUUAGAUUUUUGAUGUCUACGAAGCAUUAUCGUGGAUUUGCAUUCAGAGGUUAGAUAAUAUUGUGAUUGAGUCUGAUUGUCAAAGUGUGAUCAGUGCUUUAAAUCGUCCAAGUAUUGAUAUGUCAAUGGUCACAACAUCCAUAGCUAAUGGGGCAGUUAGAAGGAAAAAAAACCAUUUUGAUGCCAUAUUAGAAAUAUGAAAUAUGAGGAAAUUCGUUAAUCUGACUUAACAAAUACAAUCAGAUUUCCAAUACUUAUACACCAGAAAUGAAUCGCUAACAGAAUAAAAAAAACUACCCUUAACUAUUUAACGAACAAUGAACUGCUCUUAACUAAUUUACAUUACUUAGUUUCUACUGAUAGAAAGCACUUGUGACACUGUUAUCAAUGAUCGAUGUCUUGAUUAUUAAAAAAAUCAAAUCUUAAAUUAAUAAUUUAUUAAUACUAGAAAUUAAAAGAUCUAUUGAAUUUGACGAUUAAACGCUAUCAGGAGCGAAGCCAACAAUUCAUUAUCGGGGAGCCAAAAUAAAAUUUUGAAAAUUUGAGGGAUUAAAAUUAAAAAAAUUGUUAAAAGAAACUUAAAUUAAGUAAUUCAUAACUAAAAGAAAUUGAAAGUGAUAUUAUGCCGGUAAAGGGUUACCGUCUACCCUUUAAUUACACCAUAAACAUCAGUAAACUAUAAUAAUAGGAUAACCCAAAUAAUAAGUCUUAAUAAAUUGAAAUUUUGAAACCGAACCGAGACACUCCAGUUGCCACGUCUGCGUCCUAACCUGGUGGGUUAUCUUUAAGGAUGAAAAUUUAAGGGGGAGUGAGCUACAACUCUUAGUUUGAGUUAAUCAUAAGAAAAUUAGUACAAUAGUUAGUAAGAUGCAUUAGAUAAUAUCGCAUAAAAUAUUCACAAUCAGAUAACAAUUCAAAGUAUCAAUUUUUCAAAGCAACCGCCAUUAAUAUAUCGGAACUCACAAUAAUAGUUUUAAGAAUAACCAAAUUUUCAUAUUUACCCACAAUGAACAUAUAUAGACACACAUAUAUAAUAAUAGAUUUUCCAGAUUUGUAUGCACAUGAGUUUAAAAUGCCAUACAGUUUUGGUUUUUAACAAAAUAGAUCCUACCCCACCACGACAUACUAUAAUGGGAGUUCCCCAGAACUCCCUUCUCCAACACAACGGGAUAUGGAUAAACCACUAUUGGUUCGUAAAUAAUAACUUCCAUUUGACUUUGGACAUAUAGUAAGUCCCCGUAGUUGGAAUCCGCCUUUGGUUAUGGAUACACAGCAAUACCCGCAGAUGGAGUUUGCCUUUGGUUGUGGAUACACACAAAAUAGAUAAAUGUGGAUAAACUGCCAGACUUCUUCUGAUCACAUCGUCUCAUCCCAUGUAAUGCAAUGCGGCAUAUUUAAUAUAGAUCAAGUAUGAUAGCAAUUAAUGUACUAAUACAUGGCAAAUCAGUAGCAAAAUCAUGUUUUUCAUGUAUUCGGAUUAAUAGUAAUAGAGGUCAUUUAUGCAAAUAUUAACAUUUACUAUCAGUAAUUUAUACAAAUAUACAUAUACAAAUAAACACCGUAUUAAUUCGAUCAAUCAUGGUUUCUAACAUAUUUCAUAUCCUUAGGGACCUAAUUGCAUAAUUUCAAACACUAAAAGUAGUUCAGAACUUAUACAGGGAUUCAUAUGAUCAAAACAUAGAAUUCUGGGUCAAAACAGUAAAAUCUUAGUUUCAGGGGACACACAGCUAUAUUAUAGGAUCGUGUGGGAAGCCUUGGGCCGUGUGGAUGGAAUACAAAGCCGUGUGGCUAGGCCAUGCAGGUCAUUCAAAAUUAAGCUUCAGGGGUGACACGGUUGUGUGGGAGGCUGUGUAGGGGGUCCUAGGCCAUGUGAAAGUCGAACAUUCUUGGGUUUCAAGGGGGCAUGGCCGCGUGUGGACCACAAGCCCGUGUUGUUGGCCAUUUGGCCCUAUUUUAGGAUUGGUUUUGCCCCAAGUCACUUGUAAAAGAACACACACCUGUCACCGGUGUCUCGAGCGACGUCCCUCUCAAUCAAAUCUGGUGUUGGAUACCUAAAUCAAGUCCUUCAAACAACAUUAAUUAAGGAUUAACAAAUGUUAUCAAAAUCUAUCAAGAUUAUCGUGAAUUUCGACAAGAAAUCAUUAAAAAGAUUGAUAAUGGAUGAAAAAUUAGUUUCAAGAUAAUGAUAUUACGAAUCUUUGAAGUUCAAUUUAUAGAUAAGGCGAUUACCAAUCCUUAGCAAGAUUAGAGACGAAAUUGAUGACGUUACGCUAAACUAAUAGAAAAAUUAGGUUGAUCGAAGAUUUUUUUUAGGUUCAGGAUGGAAAAUAAUAUUUCACAACAAUGGAGAAAAAUAUUCACAAAUGGAAGAAUGGAAAAGAAAAAGGGAGAAAGAAAUAGAGAGAAAAAUAAAUAAAUUUUGGUUUAGUUUGGAAAAGGAACAAGAAUACAAAUGUUAUUAGGAAAAGAUAAAUACCCAGAGUUUUCAAAAUUUAAGGGAUUGUUUGGGUAAUUAACCCUUCUUGUCGAAAUUAAAUAGGGGAAAGAAGAUGGGGAGGUGUUUGGCAUGACUUGAACCUUGAAAACAAGGGAAGGAAUGCAAAGGCUUAACCAUUUGGCUACUGCUCACUCUUGAAAUGUAUUUGCUCCAUUAAAUAUAUAUUCUAGGGGACUUUUAUUCUACUUUGCUGAAAAAUUAAAACAAAGAAAUUGGAGAAAGGUGGAUUGAACCUAAAAUCUCUAGGGAGUAUACUAAGCUAUUAACCAUUAAGAGUAAGACUCAUUUCUUAGUUAAUUAUUACUUCUAAACCUAUAUAUUUUAGGGUGUUACAGUUCUUCCCUACUUAAAGAAAUUUCAUCCUCGAAAUUUAUCGAAUAAAUGAGGAUACUGUUGGUGGAACGUGACUUUUGGUUCCCAUGUAGCCUCCUCUAUCCUAUGGUUCCGUGACAAUACUUUCACAAGAGAAAUUUAUUUCCUUUUCAAAACCUUUACAUCUCAAUGCAGAAUUUGAAUUGGUUCUUCCUCAAAGGACAAAUCCGAUCUCAAUUCGAUCUCCUUAAUUGGAAUAUUAUGGAUAGGAUUAGAUCGGUACCGUCUCAACAUAGAGACAUGGAAAACGUCAUGGAUCCGAUCCAGUUCGGGAGGUAAUUCUAAUUGAUAAGCAGGUGGGUCGAUUCUCUUAAGAAUUCGAUAGGGUUCUAUGAAUUUCGGACUUAACUUACCCUUUCGAUCCAACAUGAACACCCUCUUGAUUUUAAGGCUUGUGUCGCAACAUUGAUGAUAGUUUAUGAGCUAGGGCUUGAUUUUAGGGCUAUGUCGUGACACUCUCUUGCUAUGUCGCAAAAGUUUACAAAAUUGAUGAACUCUAGGGAAAAGCUUGGUACUCCAAUUAAAGAACAUAUGCUUUUGCUUAUCAAAUCUUUGCAUAAGUGGAGGACAAUGGGCUGAUUUAGAUCAUAACACCUAGACAGAGAUGGUGCUCAAAUAUCUAAUAUUAUUUUUUUAUAUUAUUAAAAAUUUCACAUGUCAACUACUAAUUUGCUAAAGGGUAUUUUUUUUAGCAGAGAUAAUGGUAUGGGCCCAUAAUGGUUACAAUAUUAUAAUUUAAGUACUUGAUUUGACAAAAAAAAUGAAUCCAACUCAAAUGGUAUAGUUUGAGGGUUGUGUAUUGAACUAAGCCUUUUUUAUAGUAGUGAUAUAAAUAUCUUCUUUUUUUUUUUGUAAAACGAUUAUUUUCCCUAGCCUAGUCCUAGGAAAGGUGAACACCUAGAUCAAUAGGCCACGAUUUCAAGUUCAGUGAUAUAAGUAUCUUUAAUUGCAUUUGCUAUCAUAUACUCAUUUCGAUGUUUAUGACAUUUCAAGUUAACUUGUGACAUGAACUAAGCAAAAAAACUUUAAUAUAGUAUAAAUAUUAAAUAAUUGCAUAUUGGGACCCUCAUUUUAUUUAGAUAUUUGAUGUCUAUGAAGCGUUAUCUUGGCUUUGCGUUUAGAGGUUAGAUAAUAUUGUUAUUGAAUCUGAUUGUCAAAGUGUGAUCAAUGCUUAAAAUCUUCCAAGUAUUGAUGUGUUUGAAUUCGAUACUCUUGUUAAAGACUUCGUUCUUCUCCAUUCCUUUUUCUCUGAUUUGUCUUUCUAAUAGAUGAGAAGGGAGACUAAUAAGGUGGCUCAUAAAUUAACUAGGGUGACUUUUAUUUUAUGCUUCUUUUCAUGUUUUUGAAAUACCUAUGAAUGUUCUUUCACCUGAUCCCAAAAGAGUUGUAAACUCCAACGCUUCUGAGGAUGAGAUGCAUAGGAUUAGAUGUACGAGAUAAGCCUGUUAGACAUGGGUUUAGCUUGUCUUUUUAUUCUUUUUUUUAAUUAAUAUAAAGUGUGCUUUUACCCUAAAAUAUUAAAUAAUUAUAUAUAAAUGAUUAUAGUUAAUAAAUUUAAAAUCUAGAUAUUAAUAUUUACCAUUUUUACAUAAACUCGGACUUUUAUUUUAUUUGAAUUUUAAUAUAUAUACUAAUAAUAAAACUAUUGUAUUGAUGUUUCAAAUUUGAUGUACACCUACUCAAUUUAAUGUCGAAAAAUCAUAUUUAUAAAAUUAUAUUACUAAAUGCAAAUAGGAAAAAAGAUAGUUGAAUAAAGUUUUAGUUGUUCCUUUUUAAAUUAGACAAAACUUCUUAAGAAAUCAAACCUCUAAAAGGAUUUUUUUUUUUAACUCUUCAUAAUAUAUAUUUUUGAAAACAAUUUCUUCAAUUAAAGUGAAACAAGUUUUUUCCUUUUUGUUUUUGGUCAAAGCAUGUUUGAAGUAGAAAUCAAAACUCUUAUUUCAUACUUACAUGACUCUUUGAUCUAUUUGUUUGUAUUUUCUAGACAGGCUUUAACUACUUUUCUACAUAUAUUUUACUCAUAGUGAUCUUACGCGGCUGUUUUCAUUUUAAUGCAACAGCUCAUCAUUUUCACUAAAAAAAAUAUUUAUCAAAUAUUAUCACGUAUAUUAUUAUUUAUUUAUUGGAUAUUCUUUCCUUCUAAUCAAGGUUGACGUAAAAGAAAAGAUUGAAUACCCAAAAUCAGUAACUAAAAAGGGAAUGAGCUAAAAUAUUGUCACAUAUAUUAUUUAUUCAUUCAUUUACUUCUUUCUAUUAUAACUUAAUAUAGUAUCAAUUUUGAGUCUUGAUAUUUAGGGUCGAGUUUUAUCAUAUGUAAUUGCGAUGUAUGAGUCUUCAUCCCACGUAGUUCGUGUGCCAUGUGUGGGGUGAAGUCAUAUUCUUUUCGAUUUAGUCCAAUUGUUUCUGAUUCUUUAUCCGUUAUGCGUGUCUCAUGUGUGUCAUAUAAUAUUGUUUUUGAUCGAGCAUAUAUUUAUAUUUAUAUUUUACUUGUGAUAUUGUAUUUAGUAAGUUUGUGAGAUUAACAAUUUAAAAAAAAUUAUAUUUACCCAUUUUCUAACAUCAUAUAUAACACAUCAAUCACCAUCCAAAUCUUAAAUAACUACUCUUUGCUCUUGAUAUGGCUUGGGGCUCCCAAUUUUGCCAUUCACUUUUUCUAAGAUUUUAACUUUUUUUUAAAAUAAUUAUUGAUGACUUUUUUUUGACACAACGUUUAGAACUAUUUAUAAUCUCUUCAAUCCAUAAGUAGGAAGAUAAUGCACUUCAGCGCACUGGAACCCACGUCCUUCUUUAUUGGCAACAAUAUCCAUGCCAAUGAGUCAAUUGACAUAUUUUUAAUAUUAUAUUUUAGUGUAAUUAAAACGAGAUUGCUUAUUAAUAUUUAUGAAAAGGGAUUUUUUUUUCAAUGUUUCUUUUAUGAUUAAAAUUGUGAGAGAAUAUUGUUUAAAGAGAAAUAAAAAAAUCAAUGAGGUAGUCAUGAACUUGAGGAGCGAAAAUGGCGUGGAGAUAGGUUGGCUUGCCUCAAUAGCUAUCUGCUUGCGCAUGUAUCGUAUUAUUGAAUAUAUAUCUAAUCUAUAUGGUGGCGGUCAGGUUUUCAAAGUUUGGGACUUCUAGACAUGAAAUAUGUUGGGAAGGUUUUACUAUGGGUUGAGAAAAAAAUUAUAUUAAGACCAAAAUUUCUAACAUUAUAAUAAUAUUACAAUUUUUAACAGUUUUUAAUUAAAAAUGUUGAUAUAAACCUUUUCUUUUUGAAGCGCACAACAAGUUGCAUGAGUUUGACCAUAAGCUAUAUAGCUUUCGGUUUGUAUGUAUUCUGAUUUUUGUUUAUCAUUUUGCAUCACAGCAGAUCCAUGCCGUCAGGACUGGUGCCGUAGUGUCCUUUGUACUGAUAGUUUAGCUUGGAGCCACAUAUCGACAGUCCACUUUCCAUAUGGCAUCACAUAGAGAUUUAAUUAAUUUUUUGCAGCAGUUGAUGAAAUCAACCACUUAUUCUUUUAGUCAUUAAAUUUUAGUGCAUAAAUUGAUGAAGAGCCCGGCUCCCAAAUGGCACCUUGUCCAAUCAAACAGGCGUAUCAUAGCCUAUAAAUAGCAUAUUGAGCCGUAUGCUAAUUCACUUCAAAACAAAAAGAUCUUAAAAACAAACAAGACGUCAGCUAAGAUGAAUAUGGGCAAUGGUAAUGGGGAGGAUGCUAUUGAGGCACUCCAAGCACAAGCUCACAUUUGGAGACAUGCUUUCAACUUCGUAAGCUUCAUGUCUCUAAAAUGUGCACUUGAUUUAGGCAUCCUUGAUAUCAUUCAUGAUCAUGGCAAGCCCAUGACUAUUACCCAGCUGGUUGCUGCGCUACAGAUGCUCAACCCUACUAAAGCAUGCGACAUUUAUAGGCUCAUGCGCAUUCUAGUUCACUCGGACUUCUUUGCACGCCAAAAGCUAGACAAUGAUGCUCAAGAAGAAGGAUAUGUUCUUACCAACUCUUCUCGUAUUUUGCUCAAGAAUAAUCCCUUCUGCAUAACGCCUACUUUGAAGGCUACAAUGGAUCCUAUUAUAACAAAGCCUUGGAGUUUUCUAGGGACCUGGUUCCAAAAUGAUGAUCAUACUCCAUUUGCUACUGCAUAUGGGAAGACAUUGUGGGACUAUUUUACCCAUGAUCCUCAGCUAAAAGAUUUGAUAAAUGAUGGCUUAGCUAGUGAUUCUCAAUUGGUUACUAGUGUUCUAGUUGACAA